rnacentral:lncRNA from 1 species
UACAACAGAUCAAACAUUGAGCUGGCCUUGCAUUACCAAUGGCACAUACACCAAGGCAGUUAUAUAGCUAAAACAGUUUAUUCAUAAGCUUUAGAGAUAUUGUACAGUACAUAAUAUUAAAGCAUCGGCAGACAUAAUGUAUAUAAACACGCUCACUCGAGUACCACACGACAAGAGUUUCACAUGGUUCAUCAAGUAGGAAAGGAGCAAUUAGUAAAUAUAACAACAUAGUAUCGGAAUAGAUCCAUUGUCACCGAACGAAUUUAUUCUUAAGACCGGACCACAAAUCAACAAACUUCUCAGAACAUCACCAUUACACCUGAUCUUCAUUCCUCAUCCGUGCGCACAGCUGCAACAUGAACAACCAAGUCAGUGUUCAAGAGAACAAUACAGCAUGAAGUAAAACCAAAGCAAGAAAGAGCCUCAUCUGAAUGCCCACCAGGAAGAAAGACAUUAAAUAUGCAAGUGCACAAAUCAUCACAGAAGCUGGGUAAGCAAAUUAUUCAGAACAGCGUAGAUGUUGGAUUCAACACUUCAUGCAAAUCACGCAAGAGAACAACCAUCACAGUCACUUAAGCAUUCCAAAACCCAACUACAUGUACUUCUGCAGUUCCUGACAGCGCCCCCGAGUUGCAAUUACAAUAUCGAUACUUAUAUGAAGCACAAAAUCAAUAUCGCUACAGAUCCCUACGAACCUAAUUCCGUUUCAAAGAAAAACUACAAACCUAAUUGCACCUAUCCAGCUGUUUUACUCAGUGUUCACAUGCAAUCAUGCAUGCGGCUGAAUAAACUCCCUCUGCUUUGGUACCAGCUCUGAGCAUACAAAUAGGGUAUGACAAAUCUUAAGAGGCAUUUUCAGAACUAUGUGGCAUGAAUGACGCUAAAAGUGAUAAACUACAUGUGCUAAUUAUUACCACACCAGCCCCAUCUAUUAGUAAACACACAUGCCUUUGCCUCGUGAGGUUUCUGUCAUUGGCAUGAGUUCGUGAAUGCUAAUGCGCACACAGCAGACACAUGGUGCCACGAAUUAAGCUCAUGGUAUUUUCCUUGCAUCAGGGGAAAAAAAUCGGUCACAAAAGCUUGCAGGGAUUAAUCAAUAACCAUGACUGCGUAGAAGUUCAGGAGGGAUUCCAACAGUUAAUCUUCAAAUACAGUCACCACUAUUGAGUUUCUCCUGGUUUUAAUGGAAUAAAUAUAUUUUUACCUGGUAACAUUAUGCAUAAAACAGAGACGAUAAGCACCAUCAUGCCCACCCAAUCCAGCCUAUGAAAGGUAACAUUCAGGAUAGUACCCUCACUAUUUAUUACCACUUCAUGCGUUCAUGGUUAUUCGUCUCUAUUUUCCAGGAGACAAGUAACACUAUGUUAGUGCUAAAACUGUUAAACAUAAUCUUACGAUUCUAGCAGCUCCAGGCUAUAGGAAGAAUUAAAAUUCCCAAUACACCGUCGUCCUUAGCAGAUGGCAAAAUAAUCUUGUACAGUAUGUAUGUUACACUGACAGCUAACUUUAAGAACAUCCCCUCCUCACACGCAUUUCUACCAACAGAAGAAAAAAAAAGCGACGCACACCAGAUCCGUGCCAUUUAACAGAUCGUAUUCAAUCCAGCAGAUCAACCUAGACAGGUAAACCGGUAGGGUAGACCUAGAAACAAGAUCCACAUCCAACAACACAAAGCCAGAUCCACGAACCCUAGAUUCAUUCCGUGACCAGGCAAAUCAAACCGGGUCAAGGACGCGAGACAAGGGCUUGAUCGGAUCGGGGAACUUACUGGGCUUCUGCUGCUUCUCGUCGGUCCACUUGGAGAGGGAGAAGUGGACCUUCUCGCGGGAGGAGAGCUCGGUCUUGAAGGGCUCCUUGAGGCAGCUCCGCACCAGCGCCGCGCAGACGUUGGAGUAGCCGAUGUAGGUCAUCCCCGCCGCACGCCAGAAGGGCACCGCCGCCGUCACCGCCGACAUCGUCGUCGCCUCCGCCUCCUCUGCUUCUUUUUUCUUCUCUUCUCUAGGGUAGAAUAGAAUGCUCUUCCUUCCCUCUCUGCUCGAGACGCCGCCGCCGCAGAUAGGGAUGGGGAAAUGGGCUUUGAGGCCCUUUUAUCUUCUCGCUGGGCCUCUUUGCUUCUGCCCAAACGGUCGGGACUCGGGAGCGAAGCCCACCCCGCAGACGGGAAACCUCCCGGUUCGAUUAGUCCCACAUCGCUCGCGGAGCACGGCGGGGCAGGGUCGGACGAGUAUAAAUGGAGGGGCGGGGGCACGGUUGUAAGUCAUACCUUUCUCGGCCUUUUGGCUAAGAUCAAGUGUAGUAUCUGUUCUUAUCAGUUUAAUAUCUGAUAUGUGGGCCAUGCGCCCACAACGAUAUUAAAUUUAUUUUUUAUGGGGGAGGAUCCACCACAGUGGCUUGCUGCUGGGCUCCUCACGCGUUCCCUGGACGUUGCACUGCUGUCCAGGUGUGGCGCACCCCAACCAAAUCUAAAUUAACUAUUUUGAUCGGGUUAAGUUGAGGUGGCUGAAGUAUUAAGGUUUUGAACACUGUUCUACCGGUUGAAUGCCCAUUGCAGCACUCAAGCUAAUGUUGUAUUUAAAAAAUAGGCGAAGCUUUCUUGAAAAAGUAUGGAUUAUUGUUUUGUUUUGUGAACAUAGUACAAGUAAGGAAUAGAUGCAUUAUCGUAUUUAUAUUUCUGAAUAAGUGUCAUUUAUUGCCUCUGACUGUUUCAUGAAAAAAUUGGACGGGACUGAAAUAUUCUGCUGGGCACUGGACAGCUUAGCCAUUUGUGGGUGUGUGAUUUGUCUCACGAUUUUAUAGACCUCUUUCGAAUAUCUUUCUGCCCAUGCAGGCAUUGCCGCAAAUCAUUAUCUUUGAUUUAUAAAAAAUUUAGCAACGGAUAUUCAGGAUUUCAACAAUAAGUAGUUUCUUUUUUCCAUUCGUUACUUAACCCCCUUCACGCACACUAUCGUGUAAGUGCGUUGUAUGCGACGACUCUCUCUACAUGUACGACGAUGAUCGUUCGAGUCAAUAAAUACCAAAUUUUAGUUUAGGCAAUGUACUUUUUUGGAUUCUUUUUAUUCUUAAUUACUUCCUUCGUCCCAAAAUUCUUGUUUUAGGUUUGUUUAGAAACGGAUGUAUCUACCUAAUAAUAAAGCGGCUAUUGCUUCCGUCGGAAAACCCACUACGGAAUUUUUGUAAUAAAGCCCGUGUAAUUUUUGUUAUUCAACCUGCGCUUCAUCAUUUACUGCAACGCAAAAGAAAAAAAUGAUUCGCUGCAAAAAUUAUACCCGUACGCAUCGCCUCCUCCAAUCGACCCUCGGCCACCCUGGCCUGUGCCGAGGCCGCCGCAACACCACUCACCGCUAUGGCCGACCUCAACCACCACCGCUGCCGAUCUCAACCCACCCGCCUCCGCGGGUGUACCUCUCCCCACUCACUGCCCCCGUUGCGGCGCUCGAGCGCAUCGCGUCGACCCUGGUCCACCCUGGCCAGUGCCCAGACCGCUGCCACACCACUCAUCGCCGCGGCCGACCUCAACCACCAGUGAUGUUGAUCUCAACCCACCCACCUCCACGGUCGUACCUCUGCCCGCUUGUUGCCCCCGUUUCGGCGCUCGAGCACAGCUUCUGGAUCAAAUCAACGCGACAACUACAUCGACUUGGGAUGAUGCGUCUGCUCGAUGCAGAACGGCGUCGGCGCGCGGAUAAGGCGCGACGGAGCGAAGUACUUGCAGGUGGAGGCGGGCCUCCAUGGCUCAUACGGGGAACUCCGAGGUUAUGGCGCGGCAACGACGACUCCUUAUGGCCACAUAGAGGCGCCUAACCCCUUGCUCCCCUCAUCGUAUCCCCUCCUCCGUUAGGAACUCAUCAUCUCGUGAGAUGCCCUCCCCAUGCCUCCAACCGUGUGCCAAGCACCGGCAAGAAAUUUUGUUUUGUGGGAAUUUGUUUUGCUGAUGAAUGAAUGUAUUGAAUGUAAGAUUGCAUUGUUGUAGAGAGAGAGAAUGGAACACCACCUUCAGUUUGUCAUCUGAUCCCACAUUCUCUACCCCAUGAGUGAAAUAAGAUAACAGUCCAUUAAUCAAUUCAGGUAGCCUCUUUGUUUUGCUUUGCUUGUCCCGCUCAAUUUCUCAUCAUGAUGGAAUUAACAAUGGACGGGUUGAUUUCUCAACAAAAUAGGAUAGGACUGACUACAUUAGUUAGUUAGCUUAUUAUUUUAAUAAAUCAACAUUAUUAUAAAAAGAUUAAAAGCUUGUGGUAUUUUUUUCUCCCGUUGCAACGCACGGGCCCUUUUGCUAGUUAUUAAAACGUGACUAGAUACAUUCAUAUUUAGACAAAUCUAAGACAAUAAUUUUGGGACGGAGGGAGUACGUACUUUCUAAACUUUAUUUUAUGGCGAAGCACGAACAAGGGCACGUGGCGCCGAGUUUCACGGGUAGAAGGGGAACUUUCGUGGACACCAAGACCUACCAUCGCCUGCCUCAUCUAGGGUUAGGGUUGGCUCCUGCGACAUGGGCGAUCCCCUGCCCUUGUCGUCGUCGCCGCCGGUGCUGCCUAAGGAUGGAAGCCUAUCGGUGUUGAGGGGGGCCUCCCCCCAACGCACGUCUCCGCUGUCUCCGUCGUCAAAGUGUCCUCUUCUACCCCGGACGAGAGGAGUCCGAAGCCUACACGAAGGAAGCCACGCGUUAAACCCUAUUUAUAGGUGCGGCCGGCAGAUCGACCAUAGACGUCCCCGACAACGCAACCCCGAGCCGCCUGACCCCGGCUCCGGAUCGCUUGCCUCGAUGUCGUCUUCAGCGUCGUUUCACGCUGGUGGUGGGGGUGAUCAUGGGGGGCCGGUGAGGUUCCUACCCACCCGAAGCCACCGCGCGAGGGGGGCAUAGUGACGUCGGGAGCUCGGAGGACUCACAAUCUCGGGCAACGUCAGGAAGAAGAGAACAUCAACUGGGAUGCUCGGAGGGCGGGUGGCGGCCUGACGGGGCCCGCUGAAGCACACCUCGGAGGUGAAGUGAUCAUGGACGAUGUGGCCUUUUGUCGUAGUUGAUCAGCGAAUAAAAGUAUACACUCAAGUAUGGAUCAUCAGUACUCUUUUAUGAUUCUUGAGUCCUUAGGGGUCCCGCACUAUUAAGAGGGGAUCACAGGUUUUGCGAUGAACUUGCUCAAAUUACAUCUUCACUUUGUGUUCAGACCACAUCUCCACUGCUCUGCUGUUAUGUGAAAACAGAACCAGUGCCUCGGACAUCCGGCCUCCUCCGGACGUCCGAGGACCGGACGCCCGACAGCUUCGGAAAUCCGGAAUCCUAUACCAGAGAAAUCAGAGCCAUAUAACUCAGACUUCCGGCUACCUCCGGGCGUCCGAGGCCCGGAUGUCCCGCCAAGUCCCGGAAAUCCGGAAGCCUGCACCAGUAGAAGUUGAGCUCUAUAUCUCGGAAAUCCGUCUCCCUCCGGACGUCCGAGCGCCGGACGUCCGACACCCGUCGGAAAUCCGGAACCUACCACCAGUAGAAAUUGUGUUGUAUAACACGGACUUCCGGGCCACUCCGGACGUCCGUAUGUUGAUGAAUUCAAAUAUGUUCACGCACAUCUACAGGCCUCGGACGACCGACCCCUGUCGGACGUCCGGCCGCUGAUGAAUUCAGAAGAGUUCCAGUCAUGCCUACAGGUCUCAGACGUCCGACCUCUGUCGGAUGUCCGGUCCCUCGCGGACGCCCGGACUUCCGACAACUGUCGGACGUCCGGACCCUGUGUGACUUAAAGUGUCCCCAACGGCUCUUUUUCUCUCCCCACUAUAAAUACCCCCCUCCCACUUCGUGAGAGGGUUGCCCAACACAGCCUUAUCCUCAUAAGAACACACUUCCACCUCACACACAUUUGCUCACUCCAAAUCUUAGAUCCCAAGAGCAUUUGUGAGCCCCUUUGAGAGUUGUUCCAAUCGAUAGAUCUUCUCCCUCUCCUUCUCUCAACCCAAACUAUUUGUGAUUUGAUCAAGUUUUGAGCAUUCCCCGUGAUCUUAUUACUCUUGGAGGUUGGAGACUCCUAGGCGGUAGGAGUUCUUCGAAGAGGAAUCAAUUCGUGUGAUUUCCCCCGGAAAAGUUUGUGAGGGUUUGGAAGCCACCUCAAAGGCUUACCACUAGUGGUUGAGAAACGCCUUCGUGGUGUUAUCUCAAAGGGAGAAUAGGGUGAGCCUUCGUGGCGUUGGUGUGCCUUCGUGGUAACAUCCACCUCUCUAACGAUGACUAGCUUCCCUCCAAGGAAGUGAACAUCGGGAUACAUCUUCGUCUCAGUGACCUUGGUUAUCCUUAACCCUAACUCCUUACUUGUGGUUUACUUGUGUUAUUUGAGCAUACAUACAUUGCAUAUUGCUUGUGCUCAUUAUAUUGUGUUGGCUAUUUCUUGUACAAGAUUAAUCAUUCAAGCAUACCCUCUAUAUCCACACGUACAUACUAUCAACCCUUGAUAUAUCGUUUGAUAUAGUGUGAUCUAAUAUCUUGUGUUAUUUACCUACUUGUCGUGUGAUAUAGCUCAAGUAAGUUUGUGUAACUUACUUGUGCUUGUUAGUAACUGCAUUGUGUCCAUCUUGGUAGAUCGUGUUGUUGAUACACGUUGCAGUGCCUAGUGCAUUUAGGAUUUGUGCUUGACAAGUACCCUCUUAGUUUAUUUUCGCAUUAGGUUCAAGCCAAAUCUGAAGAAGUUUUUAAAUAGCCUAUUCACCCCCCCUCUAGGCAUCAUCGAGGUCUUUUCAAUUGGUAUCAGAGCUAGGUCUCUCUUUAAUUAGGUUUCACGACCUUGAGAGUAUCGAUGUCGACUAUUGUAUUAGUGCACAAUGGCAUCUUUGACUUUGAUGGCACAAAUUAUACCCUAUGGAGAAUUUGUAUGCUUCAUCACUUUCGGGCCAUGGGCCCAAAUACUUUACGAAUUAUUCUUGAAGGGAUUGCCGACAAAAAGGAUGAUGCAUCUUCAUCUACUAAUGAAAUGUAUCUUGAUUGCGAGGCUUUUCUUGCCAUUCAUCGAACCAUAAGUCCUGAAGUGUUUAAGUCUAUCUCGACUUGCAAGUCAGCUCAUGAAGUUUGGACUAAACUUGAAGAUAUAUAUGGUGGGUCCAAUCUUGAUGAAGACGGUAUUAUGAUGAAGGAGUUGGUGCAUGAGCUCUUCACUCUUUUCGAUCCUAAAGAGUCCACCACUACUUCCAUAUCCGAUUGCUUGCACACCUCAGCAUCUUCAAUCUCACAAGGUAAUGACAUGGUGAGUGAAGAAAUAUAUGUUGAUGAAAAUGGCUUAGCCUCUAUGGACACGAGCAUAUCUAGCACCACACAUAGUGUAAAUUAUUGUGCUGAUAGGUCAUGCAUUCCACCUAAAGAUUCCUUGACAAAUGUCUGUGGUGAUAUGUCUGCUUCCUCGUGUCCUCUUGAUCAAAAUAUCUUGUUUCUCCCUAGUUGCUCUAUGACUAACCAUUUAGGGGAAUUCAAGAAAUAUGAAGUACUUUUGACUAAUGAAGAAUCUGAUUCACCAAAAGAAUCAUCAUCAAGUCCUCCUGUUCACAUGUACCUCAUGGCAAGAGGUAAUAAUGAGGUAUCAUCUUCCCUGUGCAAUAACGAUGAUAUUUGCGAUGAGGAUGGUGAUGAUGACUUGACUGAAAAUAUCUAUGUGAUCAGUAAAAUUCUUCAUAAAGCUAAAAAUAACUCUCUUCAAAGGUUCCAAGAUGUUCUUGCUUACUUUGAAAAUUGUAAUGAUUCACUUAAUCAUGAACAAGCUAAAAGUGAACAACUUGAACUUGAACUUGAGAAGAGUCAUCAAGCAUGUAGAGACUUAAGAACUUCAAAAGGAGAGAUUGAAGUUGCUCAUGAUAAACUUAAAAAGGAUUUUGAGGUCCUUCUCCUUGAAUGCAAUAAUGUCAAGGGAGAGCUCAUCAAAACCUCUAAGAUCUAUGAGGAGCUUCAAUCUACUCAUGAGAAGUCUCUAUUUGCUACUUACUUCUCUCAUAUUGUUGAUGAUACUUGUACAUCUAACUCUACCUCUUUUGAAGUAUCAACAUUGAAGGAGAAUGUUGAGCUACGUGCUCAACUUGAUUUACUAACUAGCAAUUAUGGGAAGUUGGAAGAAAACCAUGUAAUGCUCACAAGCUCUCAUGCCGAUCUUCUAACAUCCCAUAAUGUGCAAAAGUUAGCUCAUGAGGCUAUCAUCACCAAGGUAACAUCAAGCGAGCCUCAUGUGGACAAUGGCACUACUUCUGGUCAAAGUACUAUAUUUCCAUGUGCUAGUCCUCGUAAUUCGUCUACUCAUAAUGUUGCUACCUCGUGUGAUGAAUUACUUUCCUUGCCUUGUUGCUCUAACAUCGAAGCUUACACUUCCUCUAGUACUUGCAUUGAUACUAACCGUGCAGAGGAAAUCAAAGAGCUCAAGGCCCAAGUCACUUCUUUGAAGAAAGACUUGGAACAGUGUCAUGAAGAGAUGCCCACACUCAACAAUGUCCUGUGUGAGCAAACAUCUCCGAAUGACAAAAAUGAGUUUGGAGUAAACUCAAACAAGAACAAGAGGGGCCUAGAACAAGUCAAUAAUUCGGCCAAAAUCAUUUGCUUCAAGUGCAAAGUUAAAGGGCACCCUGUUAGAUCUUGCCCUCUGAAGACGAAGUCUCAAAGUCACAAGCAACAAGGGAAGCGGCCACAAACUCAAUCACAUAUUCAACUACAAGUUGAAGCAAGGCCUCUUCCCAAUAAGACCCAAACCAACACUCCCCGAGGUGAGAAAUCAACUGCGAAGAAAGAAAAGGGUAGAUGUUGCUACUUAUGUCGUGAGAAGGGUCACGUCGCUUCGUCUUGCACAAGAGGUAACUUAUCCAACCCAAUCACUAUUGAUGAUAUCUAUUCCCUUGGGAAGGAUAAGGUUGGCAAUGUGUUUGCCAAGUUUGUUGGUACUCAAAAUGGUGUCAAGAAAAGAACCAUUUGGUUUGCCAAGCCUAUUGUGAUUAACUUCUUAGGACCCAACGUAGUUGGGGACCAACAAGCUCAAACUUGAUCAAUAGGUGACUAUGGAGGACAUUAGAGACUUGGAUACAUAAUGAAGAAUUAAUGGGUCUUCAUCAUUCAUAUUAUCUCAAGCCAAGUCAUUUGGAUUAUCAAGUUUCUAUCUUAUAUCUAAUGUGCCUCCUUACGGUAACUUAUACUUAAACUGUUUACAUUGUUAGGUGCUUGCCCCCCUUUUGCAUGUUGUGGUUUUGUACCUUGCAUGUGUUUGUAUAUGUUGUGCUUCCAACUUGCUUAUCUUGAGUAAUCAAGUAUGUGUAUGUUGGUUUGCACAUCAUGUACAUGUGAGUCUUGUAUUGAGCCUAUUUGCAUCUUGUCUGUAUUUUUGUUGGCUCUUGUGAGAGAUUAAUGGAUUAUUCCAUUGUGGGGGAGUGAUGUGCUUUGCACACCUCACAAUCCUAUAAAUGUGUAUACAUGGGGAAUACCACUUAGUUUUGAUGCUUCAAGAUUAUCUAGUGUCUAUGUGGUAUGUCUUACUCAUGAGAAAUUCACAUUCUAUAUGGUCCAUUAAGUAUCUCUUGUUGGUUCUAAUUUGCCACUUGUCAAUGUUAUUGGUUUAUCACAUUGUGGGGGAGUAAUAUGCUAUGUGCAUAUUACAAACCUAGAAAAUGUGUACAUUUGACGUAUUGCCACUUAGUGUUGAUAUUGUAAAUUAUCUUGUUCCUAGGUGGCAUGUUAGCUCUACAAGUGACAUUUGCUUGCGUUUUAUGGGUAAAGAUGAUCUUGGAUAUAUUUGUGAUCUACCAAUGAGUAUCAUUUCAAAAAUACUUCUUGUCGUUGACAAUUGGUAUUCCCAUCAUGUGAUUGGAAUUGAUAAUCAUCUUUACAUUGGAUUUUGUGUUUCAUUUGUCUUUCUUGCCUCUUAUGAAUCUAUUUUUAACAUGUCUAGUGUGGUUAUAGAUAUAGAGAAAGUGAUGAUCCCAUCGUGUGAGUGUUGUAUUCAAAUGCAAAUUCUAUAUAAUGCACGUCCCUUGGGGGAGCUAUCCUAUUCUCUUUAAAACACUCUCUUUAUUCACCCAUCAUAAAAUCAUUUGAUCCCCAUCAAGUGUGUGUUGAUGGGAGGCAAGUCUUGCUCUUUAUGAUGCUUUGUGCCAUCAUGAAAAUUUGUAGAGGGCUUUGUUUGUUGGAACCUAGCUCUCUCUUGGAAACUAGAUACUUCGUGUUUGUUUUCCUUCAAUUGGUUUCUUGUUGCCUUCUAAUUGGCACGUGUCAAUGGAUAUCUCAUUCCUUGAUGUAUCUUUUUAAUUGAUAUCUUUCAAGUGAUAGUUCUUUUGUUUUAGGAUCUUAUUAUCACUUGAUACCUUGUCUUUUGGUGACUUAUCAACUUUGUGUUGAUUUGACUCUUAAGAGUCUUGAGCAUGCGUAUCAUAUCUACUUUAUACAACUUCUUUUGCUUGCUUUCCUUCUUUGACCCAAUAUAUAUGGGAAAUUCCACCUUGUCAUAAAUUGGCUAAAGUGUGCAUGAAAUUCAAAUUCAUAUCUAUAUGCACAUAUGUAUGUGGAGUUUGUCCUAUGUAUUGCUGGUUUUCUAACUCUUUGGUCCCAAUGAGUUUGGGCACCAUUUUGUUUGUUUUGUUGUUCCAGGAACAACUGGAGAUGCAUUGGAUGCUCGGCUCACCUAUAAGGAAGAUGUUGAGACCAUGUGAUUGUUGGAGCCAAGUUAGGAUGAUCAAGGAACAACCAUCUACUACAUCAAUCCAAUGUUGUCUCGGUAACAAGUAUCCACUUCAUGCAUUAUUUUCUUGCAAAGGACCCAACCUGUCUUUUCUUUUCCAGGUUGCAUCAUGGCAUGAAUCUCUUUAUUCGUUCAUGUAGUACUUGUUUGCUUUCUCAAAGCAUCCGAACGAUGAUGUCUUACUACUAGUUGGGAUGCCUUUGAUGUUUGUAUGUUGGAAGUUCAUAUUAUACAAUAAGAAAAUAUUUGGCCAUGUGCUAUGCUUCCAAGCAAAAGAUCUCAUUGAUAUAUUUAUGACUUCCUUUUGGAUAUCUAGUUUGUUCCUUCUUGUAACCAUUUCAUGUGUACAUCCUUCUUUGUGGAUAUAUAUCAUCAUGAUUGUCUUCUACUUAGAAUCUUUUACAGAUGAGAGAAGUUACAUCUCUAAUUGAUAUCCUCUUUUCCUUCACGUCCAUCGUUGCAUUUCCUCUUUCAAGUUUUUUUUAUGGCUUCGUGAAAGGAUUUGUUUUGAGUGCGCAUCUUAUUUCUACAUCUUGAUGCACUCUUUGGCAGUGAAGAUUAUUUUUCCUCAUGCUUGUCUUGAUGAGGGUUUUGCCAUUUCAACUAGUAUCCCUUCUAUUGACAAGGUUCUUACUUCCUAUCUUCACAAUGGGUUGUCACAAGCAUUGGUUCUUAUUUUGUUUAUUAGUAAGCUUGUGAACCCAUUUUCUAGUAUGUGUGUGUGGGAAUGAUAUGUCUUGCACUUUGUAUCUCAUAUUCAUCAAGACUAUGUUGAUGAGCAAUGCUCAUCCUUAUCUUAAGUCUUCUCAAGUGCUUUGCCAUGAUUCACACACAUUACUUUGGUUGAGCUUAUUCUUAAGUUGCUUCCUUUACAUGUUGCUCAACCAUUAGUUUUGUGCAAUUGAUAUGCCUAUUGUCUCAUCUAUCGUCUUGCACUCGUCGUGUGUGUCUAUUAAUUCUGGGGGAGCAACGAUCCUAUUUUGUGCACCUGUGUCAAAUACAAAAAUCUCAUAUUAGUGCACAAAUCAUGGGGAGCUUCUCUAGUUUUUGAUAAAGCACUGUGUUGCCUCUAUCAUAAUAUCUUUUAUUCAUGUGGUUCGAAGGACCAUAUGAUUGUUUGUUCCAUCUGGAAUUCUUUGAUUGCUUGCCUCCAUCUUUGUAUGUCUUUGUGGCAUACGAUCCUUUUUUCCUCCAACUACUUAUCAUUGUAUUUGUGUAUUUUUCUGCACUCAUUUGCUGAGAAGUACACACUUUUUUGGAGGACCACCUACUAUUUUGGCUUUCUAAACUUGUCGUCCAUUUUGGCAAUCGAUGCCAAUGGGGGAGAAGUUUAGAGAGUUUACUUUGGAUACGUCUAGAGGGUUUUGCUUUUAUUGCGUAAGCAUUUACAUCUUGCACACACGUACUAUUACCUUGUAUGUGUGCGCUUGGUUAUGCUUAUCUCCUUAUAUAAACUCUCUUGAAGUGGUUGUCUUCAAUUACCAAAAUGGGGGAGAUUGUUAGAGCAUAUAUCUCCAUAUGUGGUUUUGGUAAUUGAUGACAACUCCUAUGGACUAAUGGUUGCUUUAAGUUAUAUUUAUAGGACUUGUCCAUAGGCACUUCGUGAAGUCCAUCUGUUGGGUUCAAGGAGUUUAUAUGUUGACCAAGAUGUUAUUCAAGUUAUUAUCCAAAGAAUGGUCAUAGAAACACUAGGUUGAUCAAGAUCUCAGCCAAAGAGUAAAUCAAUAUGAUCAACACACAAAGCGUAUAAGAUGUACCGAGAGGGAUCAAGUGAUCUCAUAUCUCAGACAAAGAGUAAAUCAAGAUGAUCAACACACAAACCGUAUAAGAUGUACCGAGAGGGAUCAAGUGAUCCCAUGGUAUGGUAAGCAUUGUCCAUUACGUGUUUGUGUACUAACCCAUGGUCUUUAUGAGACUCCUAUGUGGGGGUUAGGUGUGCUUCCACUGGGCUUGCGUCAAAAGGAAGAUCUCAUACAACCCAUGAAGGAUGACGUCAAGUGGUGAUCGUCAUCAAGAUUGUGGUGUGCAAGUUCAAGCGGAUCAGCACGAAUAUAUCAUUGAAACUAUUGUCAAUGAUCAUGUGCUGACAAGGACAACCUCAUGUGCUAACAAGGACAAGAUCAAGAUAAGCAUUCCUGAGCACUACAUGCUUGAUUCUUGUGGAUGUUCACAUGAUGGACAGGACAAGAUCAAGAUAAGAAUUCUUGACAACUUCAUGCUUGAUUCUUGUGGAUGUUCACGUGGUGGACAAAUGAAGAUGAAUACAUAAGCUAGGCUUUCCGCAUUGUGUAUGGGAAAGCUACUUGAAGAGUUCAUCAUGUCUUGCUUUCAACUUGAGCCAAGAAGGAACAACAACAUCAAGCUCAAGUGAAAGGGCUAACUCAAAGGUAUCAGUUCCUUUGACGUUAGUUGUGCGGAGUGAUGAUCAGCGAAUAAAAGUAUACACUCAAGUAUGGAUCAUCAGUACUCUUUUAUGAUUCUUGAGUCCUUAGGGAUCCCACACUAUUAAGAGGGGAUCACAGGUUUUGCGAUGAACUUGCUCAAACUACAUCUUCACUUUGUGUUCAGACCACAUCUCCACUGCUCUGUUGUUAUCUAAAAACAAAACCAGUGCCUCGGACAUCCGGCCUCCUCCGGACGUCCGAGGACCGGACGCCCGACGGCUUCGGAAAUCCGGAAUCCUAUACCAGAGAAAUCAGAGCCAUAUAACUCGGACUUCCGGCUACCUCCGGACGUCCGAGGCCCGGAUGUCCGGCCAAGUCCCGGAAAUCCGGAAGCCUGCACCAGUAGAAGUUGAGUUCUAUAUCUCGGAAAUCCGGCUCCCUCCGGACAUCCGACACCCGUCGGAAAUCCGGAACCUACCACCAGUAGAAAUUGUGCUGUAUAACACGGACUUCCAGGCCACUCCGGACGUCCGUAUGCUGAUGAAUUCAAAUAUGUUCACGCACAUCUACAUGCCUCGGACGACCGACCCCUGUCGGACGUCCGGCCGCUGAUGAAUUCAGAAGAGUUCCAGUCAUGCCUACAGGUCUCAGACGUCCGACCUCUGUCGGACGUCCGGUCCCUCGCGGACGCCCGGACUUCCGACAACUGUCGGACGUCCGGACCCUAUGUGACUUAAAGUGUCCCCAACGGCUCUUUUUCUCUCCCCACUAUAAAUACCCCCUCCCACUUCGUGAGAGGGUUUCCCAACACAGCCUUAUCCUCAUAAGAACACACUUCCACCUCACACACAUUUGCUCACUCCAAAUCUUAGAUCCCAAGAGCAUUUGUGAGCCCCUUUGAGAGUUGUUCCAAUCAAAAGAUAGAUAUUCUCCCUCUCCUUCUCUCAACCCAAGCUAUUUGUGAUUUGAGCAAGUUUUGAGCAUUCCCCGUGAUCUUAUUACUCUUGGAGGUUGGAGACUCCUAGGCGGUAGGAGUUCUUCGGAGAGGAAUCAAUUCGUGUGAUUUCCCCCGGAAAAGUUUGUGAGGGUUUGGAAGCCACCUCAAAGGCUUACCACUAGUGGUUGAGAAACGCCUUCGUGGUGUUAUCUCAAAGGGAGAAUAUGGUGAGCCUUCGUGGCGUUGGUGUGCCUUCGUGGUAACAUCCACCUCUCUAACGGUGACUAGCUUCCCUCCAAGGAAGUGAACAUCGGGAUACAUCUUCGUCUCAGUGACCUUGGUUAUCCUUAACCCUAACUCCUUACUUGUGGUUUACUUGUGUUAUUUGAGCAUACAUACAUUGCAUAUUGCUUGUGCUCAUUAUAUUGUGUUGGCUAUUUCUUGUACAAGAUUAAUCAUUCAAGCAUACCCUCUAUAUCCACACGUACAUACUUGCAACCCUUGAUAUAUCGUGUGAUAUAGUGUGAUCUAGUAUCUUGUGUUAUUUACCUACUUGUCGUGUGAUAUAGCUCAAGUAAGUUUGUGUAACUUACUUGUGCUUGUUAGUAACUGCAUUGUGUCCAUCUUGGUAGAUCGUGUUGUUGAUACACGUUGCAGUGCCUAGUGCAUUUAGGAUUUGUGCUUGACAAGUACCCUCUUAGUUUAUUUCCGCAUUAGGUUCAAGCCAAAUCUGAAGAAGUUUUUAAAUAGCCUAUUCACCCCCCCCUCUAGGCGUCAUCGAGGUCUUUUUAGCAGUGGAUUUCGAGGAGGAGGAGGAAGAAGUAGAGGAAACAGAGAGAUGGAAGCUCCUAGGUUUGUACCGUGCGCAGAAGUGCCCUAGCGCAAAAACUCUGUCCAACCACUUCCAAAAAAUCUGGCAGCUGCGAACAGGUGUGGAGUUUCAACCUAUGGAGAGUAAUCACUUUGUGAUCAAGCUCUUCUCGGAAGGAGAUUUUAACUUUGUGGGCCGCGGAGGUCCAUGGAUAUAUGAUGGUAAUGCCUUGCUGGUAGCUUCGUUCGAUGGCGAUGCUCGCCCCUCUGAAUCAGUCCUUGACUCUGUCUCGGUGUGGGUGCGAGUGUUUGAUGUUCCAUGGAAAAGGCAGACUAGAGCUUAUGGGAGAGCCAUAGGUGGUACCUUAGGCGAAGUAAUGGCGGUGGACGCACCGGAAUCGGGGCAUGCAAUGAAUGAAUUCUUGCGCAUCAGAGUUAAACUACCCUAUAAUCAGAGAUUGCAGAAAGAGGUAAUAUUGGAGUACAAGGUGCAAGGGGCUGUGAAACGCUGCAUAUUCCAGCUCAAAUAUGAGCGGGUCCCACACUUUUGUUUUGAGUGCGGUUUUAUGGGGCAUGAUAAACUUGCUUGUGAGAAGAAGCUUCUGGGGCUCCCUUCGAAGGCAUAUGAUUCCACGCUACGCUGUUCCCCUUACAAAAAAUAUGAACACAUGACAACCUUUACCCCCUCGCCAGGACAGCCACGAGCACGAAGGGGGAUGAGCUUCUCCUUCGGAAGUGCUGGUUCUGCAAAUAACAUCGACCAGCUCAGAUCGAGUGGGAGUAGCAAACCGAAGGAGGAGGAUGGGAUCCCGCAGAGGGUGGAUGCCCAUGAUAAUUUUGAACAAGGGGAAAUACCAUGCUCAGACGCCGUUGAUCAAAAGCUGGCAAAAGAGGUGAACAAUAUAAAGUUGCAUCUAGUAUCGGAGGAACCGAAAUGCAGCAAGAUGCAGAAGCUGAAGGCUUGUUUCACAGCAAAAGCUCCUGUUAAUAGUGGUGUAGAUGGGAGUAAGCAGCGUAAGAAGAAAAGUGCGGUGCCAAAAAAGGGGACAGGGGGAAGAUGCUCGGGCAACCUGGUGAUUCGUGAUGAACCUCUUGGAUUAGAUGAGAUGAUUCCUGCUCUCCGUGGUCUGAGCUUGAUCAGCUCGUUUGGGACGGCAUCUCUAUCCUUGGAUUUGCAUGAUUUUGUCUUGGGCAAGCGUCAGGUGGAUGGAAUGCUAGGAUUCGAACUAGUGGUUGAUGCCACAAAUGCCAUGGUUCCCUAUGUCGCUGCUGAGCCGGGAGGGAUACAAAAGAAAGGGAAAGUGGAUAAGCUAACGGAGGCACACGGAUGUCUGAUGAGCAAAAUACUGGUGGGAGAUAGCGGGGGGUGUGCGGUGGAUAUGGAGGCAACCGGCCAUGGGGCCGCCGGUGAACUGACGGGGCCAUGUGUGGCGCCCCGUCAGGAGCAAUGAAUUGCAUUACAUGGAACUGUCGGGGAGCUGCCAACAAACCGACAGUUCGUGAAUUGACGGGCCUGGUGCAAAAGGCAAAGGCCCGGUUGGUGUUUCUGUGUGAGACCAGACAAAAAACAACAAAGAUGCAGCGUUUAUGUGGUCGACUGGGGCUUAGGGGUUUUGCUGGUUCUGAUAGUGAGGGACUUAGUGGUGGUCUGGCGCUCUUCUGGUGUGAAAAGCUUUGUGUGGAUGUUAAAGAAGUGAAUGAAAGAUUUAUUGAUGUUUAUAUUCGCUCUUCUUUGUCAGAAUCGGAAUGGAGACUUACGUGUGUGUAUGGGGAGCCGAGGGUGGAAAAUAUACACCAUAUGUGGACCUUGAUGCAGAACCUGAAAUUGAACUCGGAUUUGCCCUGGUGUGUCAUGGGUGAUUUUAACGAAGCAAUGUGGUCCUUUGAACACUUGUCCGUGUCCCCUCAUGGAGAUCAACAAAUGCUAGCUUUCCGGGAGGUUUGUGGUCUCCAAGACUUGGGGUUCUCCGGCCUGCCCUUCACAUAUGAUAAUAAGCGUGAAGGACGAAGGAACGUCAAGGUCCGCUUGGACAGGGUGGUUGCGGAUAACGCGUGGCGAGAUAUGUUCUCUGACGCGGCGGUCUCCCACUUGAUUAGUGCAUGUUCUGAUCACCUUCCUGUCCUUUUAUGCUGUGAAAAGGAACCUGACAAGAACUGGAGACCAGCCCAUAAGCAAUAUGAGAUAGCUUGAGAAAGAGAACCGAGUUUGCAAGAGAGAAUUGAUACAGGUUGGGCAGAGGCAGGCAGGAUGGCUCAUCUGGGGGAUGUUCGACAAGGUUUGUGCCAGCUUAUGAAUAAACUUCAAGUCUGGAGUAAGGAGAAAUUUUGCCAUGUAACCCAGGAGCUGGAAAAAAGUAGAUCAAGGCUGGAGGAGCUCCUUAAUAUGAAUGCUGGUAGAAAUGAGAUACGGAAAGUCACGGAUCAUAUGAAUGAGCUACUAUAUCGUGAGGAGCUCCUUUGGAUGCAGCGGUCCAUAGUGGAUUGGCUGCGGGAUGGUGACCAGAACACCAAGUUUUUCCACCGGAAAGCAGUCUGGCGUGCCUGCAAAAACCGUGUCAAAACCCUUAUGGACGAUCAAGGGGUCGAGCACAGCGAUCCGAAGGUUAUGGGCAGUAUGGUUAAUGCUUAUUUUCAGGAGCUAUUCACGGCGGAGGAACACCUCAUAACGGCACCUGUCAUAGACCUUCUCGAACCAAAAGUCUCGCAAGAUAUGAAUAAUAGUCUAUGCAAGGAGUUUACGAAGAAAGAAAUCUCGGAUAGCCUAUUCCAAAUUGGACCCCUUAAAGCUCCGGGAGUGGAUGGUUUUCCAGCAAGAUUCUUUCAGAAGAAUUGGGCUGUUAUGAAGGAGGACAUCAUUGUAGCGGUGAAACGUUUCUUCAGCACCGGGGUGAUGCCACAGGGUGUGAACGAGACGGCCAUUGUGCUUAUCCCCAAGGUAGACGACCCCAAUCGCCUUAAGGACUUCCGGCCCAUCAGCUUAUGUAACGUCGUGUACAAGAUCGUCGCAAAGUGCCUGGUUAAUCGGCUUCGCCCAGUCCUUGAUGAGAUUAUUUCACCAGCACAGUGCACAUUUGUCCCAGGCAGAAUGAUUACUGAUAAUGCAUUACUGGCUUUUGAGUGCCUACAUUUCAUGCACCAGGACAAAAACACGGAGGACAGUUUCUGUGCUUAUAAGCUGGAUCUCUCCAAGGCCUGUGACAGGGUUGAUUGGAGCUUUCUGCGACAAGUUAUGAAAAAGUUGGGUUUCUCUAAUCAAUGGAUACAAUGGAUCAUGGCUUGUAUUACGUCGGUGAAAUACUCUGUCAAAUUCAACGGCUCCAUGUUGAACUCGUUCACACCCUCGCGGGGGCUUCGACAAGGUGAUCCCCUGUCCCCCUUUCUAUUCCUGUUUGUCGCUGAUGGACUCUCCGCUCUACUUAGACAUGGAGUAGAAUCAAACAACCUUCAUCCAGUCAAAGUUUGCCGAAGGGCCCCAGGAGUCUCUCACCUCUUAUUUGCCGACGACACCCUCCUCUUCUUCAAGGCAAACCAAGCACAAGCCACGUUUGUAAAAGGUGUCAUCCAGAGCUAUGAGCAAGCUACGGGUCAGCUGAUUAAUACCCAGAAAUGCUCCAUUCAAUUUGGAGAGGCCUGCCCAGUAGUAAAACAAGAACAAGUGCGACAGAUCCUUGAUGUUCAAAUGGAAGAAUUUGAAGGAAAAUACCUGGGCCUUCCAACACCUGAUGGUAGGAUGCACCGGGGGAAGUUCCAAAAAUUGCAAGAAAGCCUCACACGACGUAUUCUGGAGUGGGGGGAUACUCUCUCUCAAGCAGGGAAGGAAACGAUGAUCAAGUCUGUUGCCCAGGGUAUUCCCACAUACAUUAUGGGGGUGUUCAAACUGCCUGCCUCUGUCUGCGAGGAUCUGUCUCGAUUAGUACGAAACUUUUGGUGGGGUGCUAAGGAGGGAAAGAGGAAAACACAUUGGAAGUCUUGGGAUAAAGUCUGCGAAUCAAAAAACAGAGGCAGACUAGGAUUCCGAGACUUCUGUUUGUUCAAUCAAGCUCUUCUUGCGCGACAGGCUUGGAGUCUACUAACCAGACCGGAGUCCCUGUGUGCACAGGUUAUCAAGGCAAAGUAUUACCCAAAUGGCGCCCUGGUGGACACGGUUUUCACUGGAAAUGCAUCACCAACAUGGCAAGCCAUCACCUAUGGGCUGGAUCUGCUCAAACGAGGUAUUAUCUGGCGAGUUGGAACCGGUGAGCAGAUCAGGAUUUGGAGGGAUCCAUGGAUUCCUAGACCACAUUCUUAUCGUCCUAUCUCAAUCAGAGGGAACUGCCGCCUUCGGAGGGUGUCUGAGCUCCUGGAUGAUCACGGACGCUAGCAUCUGGAAUCCCUGAACCGAUAUUUCUUACCAAUGGAUGUCCAGGACAUAAGUGAGAUCAGGACCUUCACAAAUCGGCUUGUCCAAGACGUCUUGGCGUGGGCGCCAGAUCCAAAAGGUGUCUUCUCAGUACGCUCGGCUUACCACCUCGCACAUGAGGAGAAACUUCGGGCAUCUAGGGAGGCGUCAAGUAGAGCACCAGAUGGUACUCGAGCUAUUUGGAAGGUGCUCUGGGGAUGCAUGGCCCCUCCAAAGGUGCGGGUGUUUGCCUGGAGGGUUGCAACAAACUCCCUUGCUACGGUUGCAAACCUGCUACGGCACAACAUGGGAGUGACAGAUACCUGUGUCAUUUGCGGUAAGGAGCGAGAAGACACCUUCCAUGCUCUAUGUACAUGCCCCUUGGAGCAAUGUUUAUGGAGAGACAUGGCGAAAUCCUAGAACAUGCCGAAGUUGGAAGAUAUACAGAACACAGGGACUGAGUGGCUGCUGCAUCUGCUGGACCAGUGUAAGCCUGAUCAACGCUACCUGUUCUAAUGACACUUUGGCGGAGUUGGCACGUCCACAAUGAACUUACUCAUGGCAAACAGGCACCGCCGACUGAAGCCUCCACGCGUUUCCUGUCCAGCUAUAUCCAAACGCUCCAGUGCAUAAAACAGUUUCCGAGGGGUGAUCUUGUCAAAGGAAAAAUGGUGCCCUCCCACCAGGGGAAGCUAAUAGCAAAUCAGAAGGAGGAGGUGCAACCAAAGGACCGGGUGCAACGGUGGACUAAGCCACCCCCUGGAUGGACCAAAUUAAACAUCGAUGGGGCCUUUUCUGAAGGUAACAAAAUUGGGGGUGCAGGAAUGAUCCUUCGGGACGAGGAAGGACAAGUCAUAUUCUCGUCUUGCCGCUAUCUCCGUACUUGCUCCCCGGCUCUCAAAGCGGAACUGGCGGCUUGUCUGGAGGGGAUCUUCAUAGCGCGCCCUGGAGUGAGCUGCCCAUGAUUGUUGAAUUGGAUUGCUCGUGCGCGGUCCAGAUGAUCGUCGAGGAAGGAAUUGAUAGAUCACCGCAUGCAAUCUUGGUGAUGCAGCUCAAACAAGCCCUUGGGGAGAUAGGAGAACAUGUGACAUCGCAUGUGGUUAGGAGUAGGAAUGCUCUAGCGGAUGCUCUUGCUCGGCUUGGACGUAUAAAUCAUCGUACGGCUGUAUGGCUACGUGGUAUACCUGAGGAGGUUGACACCUUAUGUAAGGAGGACUCGGUUGGUUAAUCAAUAUAUUUUUCAUUCGCAAAAAAAGGGCAUGUGGCGCCGUUGUUGCCACGAAGUAGACGGCUUCAACUGUGUACAAAGCAUCCAUCGUGGCUCGUCGUACUAAGAUUGCAACUGUGUUGUCAAGAUGAUUUGGGUUCGUCCAAUUCGGUUGUCGCAACGGAGAGUAUAAUUAGGCAACAUUCUUAUCGUUGUAUGACAUGGAGGACGUUGUGCACGCGUGCCUAAAUGAGCUUGCGACGGAUGCAUCUUCCUUUUCUUCCACAACGCUCGCGACGCAAAAAACACUCUAUCGAGCACCACGAUUUUAUCUCCACCCCUCCACUAAGGCAAUACAAUAGCCAUGGAGGUGGAUGAAUAUGCAUUCCUCUGCACCGACGACGGUGAGUUGUUCCACCUCAUAUGCGCGGGACAUGGCACACCGACACUGCGUUGUCCAUGUCUGGAGGAGGCAAGACGACCUCAUCGACGUAGCCAAGGGAACCUGCUCCAAUGACAAUCACCCACCAUAGUUGAGUCAAAGCACUACGAAUGUAAGACUCCAUAGCUAGUUUCCAUUUAGCAAAUGUGUUAGCUCUCAAAGGGGCCAAGCCCCAAAAUGAUUAAUGUGUGGGUGCGGAAUCGGUUGAGAUUCAACAACAUUGUACUUAGGAACGAGUGUGCAAGCGGGGGAUGCAAGGGGUUCUCUCGAGCCAUCCACGUCUUGAAGUACAUUUAGAUCAAAUGGACUAGUUGCGGACGAUGAAGCCUUUAUGUGUGCGUCCACUUUGUCCUUGACCGAGAAGUGAACUGCUUUCAACAUUACUGAUUUAAAAUCCACGAACAUUGAAAGGUUGGCUGCCGCAGUAAAGGUAGGAGCGAGACCAAUGUGGGAUGUGUCGGCGACAGGGGGGUUGUUGGACCCCUUCCACAAGGAGUGGCUCGCCACCCACAUCCUCAUGACCUUCCAUACCCUCUUUAGACGGUUAAGCCCAAUAAGAGAGUUGAGGCUCUUACAACAACUUAAAGAAUUGAUACGGUCGACUAGAGGGGGUGAACAGGAGACUACAAAUUUAAGCUUAGCUACAAAUUUUAGGGAUUCAUGAAUAAAUAGGUUCUCGAGAUACGCGUCCAGAUGAGCACAACUUAUAUGGCAAGCAAUAUAAGUUUCAAAUCACCCGCGGUUGGUCUUGAAGGCGACUAGCACGCCUUUACAUACGUCUAUGGAGCACACCACAAGGAAGGAACCUUUCGGAGGAACCUCAGCUGCGCAGGAGCCCAAGCUCCAAGAGUAACAAGUUGUUGGUGAGAAAAAUCUUGCAAGGAACACGAAUCAAUUUGGUCAAAGUUUAGAUUGGGCCUUGCUCACUCAAGACGAAGUCAUGUUUAAAACUCCACAGAAUUGAUAUGUGGACUAAAUGGAUAAAACGAGAGCCACAUACCAAAUUACACAAUUACUAUGCAUGCAAUUCUUUUAUAGGAGAAUUAAACCCAAUUCAAAUAUUUGAUGAUUUUAUUUAAAGCCCAAAAAUAAAUGCUUUAAGCCUAUAAAAUUAUUGGUUUGAAUUUUUGCUCUUGCCAAUAUUUUCAAGGUUUAACAAGAACAUUUUCUUGGGCUCAUUUGAAGAGAUUCUUAAUUUGAUAAUUUCAAAAAAUGAUUUCCAAGGCUUUGAGGAUUCCCUUAAUUCAAUUUUCAUUGAAAUAAAUAUGAUGCAUGAUUCUCUCUAGUAUAAUUAUUUUCAGGCAAGUAUUCUAGGGUUGUGACACUUGAACAGUUUUUCCACAACAUCUUUGUGAGUGAUAUCAUCGACACCUGUUGGCGUAAGCGCUCAACAAGACUGCUUUGGCGGUCGGUGAGUUCCACCACACUUUCUCUUCGAAGACUUCUCAAAUGAAUGUACUUUGCGAGAAGAUGUUUGCGAGAACAACAGAUUUGGCAGCGGAUUCAUCGUGAACAUUUUUUAUGGCAUCCCAGAUUUGUUUGGCUGUUUCAAGCCUCCGGAAUCGAAUAAAAAUAUUUUUGGAGAUGUUGUCGUAGAUGAUAUCCUUCGCUUGAGCAUCUAAGUGAAUGUUGGCUUCAUUUUCAUGAGUGGGUGUUUGUGGAUUUGGAAUAGUAUAUUUGUAUUCCACAAUCUUCCGUAACUUUAAUCUCAAGGCUUGAAGCUUGACUUUCAUUGUACUUUGCUAGUAUUGAUAAUCAUUUCCAUUGAAGGUAGGAAUUUCUUCACACUGUGUGGAUCUACGUGGAAGCGACAUACUCAAAACUCCAAGGCGACUUGACCUUUAAUAAACAGAGACAAGGAGACCUUGAUCUGAUACCAUUUGUUAGGACUAAGAGUAUACCAACCAGAGGGGGUGAAUGGGAGAUUCAAAUUUUCUUUUGAAACUUCGAAUCAAAACCACAUCAAACAACGGAAUAGAUAGAAUAGUGAAGGUAAAUGAUCAAAGCACAUACAAACAAUAAACUACAUGGGUAAAUCAAAGCUUUCGAUGAAGGAUGUGAUAAUCUUCUUUGCAUAAUAGUUCGAGGCUUACGCAAUGACAAUGGUGGCACAUAACGACAUCAAAACAGACAACUGGCUAGGAAGUCAUUGAAUGGAAGCAGAGCAGCCAGCUAUAUGAGACACAUAAUAUCGAGUAAAUGAUAGCACCUAAACUAAAGCGAGCACGAAUAGAAUUAUUAUAGAUACAUGAUCAUGGAUACCAUACAAAGUAUACAACACAGAAAUAAACUAGUGAACAAAUUGCAAUAGAAGAAGACUUGAAUCGGUGGUGCUCGAUGGCGGUAGAUGAUUUGGUAGACUAGUUCACUCUUUUGCAGAACAUCGACGUCUGAUUGGAGGUACUUGUGAUUGAACACGGGACUAGACCUCUCUCCAUUCUAUUUUCCUUCAAUUUAAAGUAGAUUAGACUUUGAUUGAAUUCACUCGGGGUAGAUACUUGUUAGUGAUGUCCAAACCUUUGACACAGUUCUUUGCAAAAUCACAAUUACUCUUGGUUGCUGAAGACUUUGCUUGGUGAAUACAAUUACUCUUCGACACUCAAGUCGACUCCAUCUAGAGAGUGUGGAGCUCUCAAGAGUAAUAGGUACAAGAAUUCUAACUCAGAUGCGUUAUGAUGCUCAACCACUAUCUAAGUUUUGGCUCUAGAUUUUCUAUCAAUUGAUUUUAAACUCAAUUCUCUCGAGAGGGUGAUCAAUAAACCUUCCCAAAAUCACAAGGAGUAACCAACAGACAACGUUGGUGCAGGGUGGCUAUUUACGGCGGCAUCCUUCCCAUGAGGGAAAUAACCAAACUGAACACGAAACCCCCAAUGGCCAACCAACACAUUUCCAAUGGUCAAAUUUUGAGAAUAACGGUAACUUUCCUUGCGGAGCAGGUAAAGCUAACUCCUCGGCCCGAUAGAUAUCUCUUGUGGCGAAGAAGAACUAUAUAUCUUGUUGAAAAGUAAUCAUUCGGAGCACAAAGAGAUUUCUCUCAGUCUUCCAUAGGUUUCGGCUAACCAUCAGAACUGACCUAAGCUUCGAGAACAUAUAACCCUCUUAAUAGUGUUAAUAGUACAAUGGUCAUGUUGGAUGUAAGCCCUAGAUGCAAUAAUAUUGUAUUAUUAUAUUUUUGUAUUCAUAACUGAGAGUUUAUAUUCUAUGUUAUAACUACUAUGAUAAUGGAAUAUGUGAUUCAGUGGAAAACUCAUAUGCGUGUGUGGAAUGAUAAACGGGAAAAUAAGAUCCCUAGUAUCACCUCUAAGACUGGCUCAAGUGUUGUUAGUGAUCAUGUUUUUCGGAUCUUAGGAUAACGUUAGGUGUAACAUUAGAAGAUCGACCAUAUUGAAUCGAGCGAUGACCUGUUUGUUAUACUUUGAGAUAAUGUCAUUUGAAAUCAAUUCUUAUAACACGGGAGUGUUAACACGUGUUUUAGUUCCUUAGACCAUGAAGUAUCGUAUUCACAUCUUAUUGUAUGGCGAACUUCGGGGUUGCUUAAACGUCAUUUGUAACUAGGUGAUCAUAACGACAACUCAUACGUCUCCAAUGUAUCUAUUUCUCCAAACACUUUUGCUCUUAUUUUUGGCCUCUAAUUUGCAUGAUUUGAAUUGAACUAACCUGGACUAACGCUAUUUUGAGGGAACUACCUUGGUGUUAUUUUUGUGCUGAAAUAAAAGUUCUCGAAAUCAGACGAAACUUUUUGUGAAUUAUUUUUUGGGAUUUAUAAGGAUUUACGAAGCAAAGACCUUCGGAGGUGAAGUGCGAGGGGGCCACAAGCCAUUAGGGCGCCCCCAUGCCGCGAGCUGAUGGCUUGUGGGGACCUCGAGGCUCCUCUGACACAAAUUCCAGUCCUAUAAAUUCAUAUUCUCCGAGAAAAAAAUAGGACGUUAAGACGACUUUCCUGAACGUUAAGACACAAGUGGUUAUUUUAGCCCUAGUAGUACUAGUUAUAUGCGUAGAUGAUAUAACUCGUUUAUCCCGCUCCUGUUUAUUUUAGCCCUAGUAGUACUAGCAAUAUGCGUAGAUGGUUUUGCUAUAUGCGUAAUAUUUGCUAGUCUUCUUCGUGAUCAGUAUGUCAUGAAUCUAGUCAAUGCCAUGUUAGUAAUUAUUUCAUGGAUUAAUCUACUCGGCAAAUUGCCUAUUUACUCAACAAUCCAAAAACCUAAUAUGUGUAGGAAUUUUCCGAGUAAUGGUUUUGCCGCUGCACUGAAACAUGAUAAGUUUACCGGUACUUAUUUCCCCACACGGUACUCAUUGGUUACCCCAAGUGGAAGGUUAAGAUGUAGUCAGUAGCAAGUUUUCCCUCACACGGCAACUGUAAGGUUUAUCGAACCAGGAGGACUCCUAGGCUCAACAAGUAGGUGUCUUCCACCCUAGUGCUAGCAGAAGACGUGGACCUGCACACACAACAAAUAACUUUGCUCUCAACGAGUACAGAGAGGUUGUCAAUCUCUCCGGUCUUGUAGUUUGCAAAGGAUCAAAACACAAGCGGGAAAGUAAUAGUGAUUGCAACAGAAAAGUAAAUGAAAGCAGUAAAUGAUGGAGGUGUAAACAAUGAUGGUGAUAUGGACCAGGGUCACAUGAUGUUCACCAGUGAUGUCUCUCUCCCAAAAGACGAUAAACAACUAUGCUUGGGUACACAAAUCACAGUUGGGCAAUUGACAAAAUUAUGAACGCACCUCAAUGCUAAUUAUGGUACUUGAUAGUUAGAGGUUCAAUAGUAAUGGACAGUACGCCAAGACAAGUAGACCAUUUAUUCAUCAGCAUCAACUUACUAAUCAUCCACCUUGAGAUAUCUAUCUAGAACAUCUUGUCGGUAUUAAGUUGCGAGCCCCACCCAAAGUGUAAACUCAAAGCAACGAACAACUGCAUUAACGAACUACGCGUAAGGUAAACAAUCCUUGCAACCGUGGUCACAAGCACCGUUGUUUUCUCCCUGGUGGCAACAACACAUCCCCUAGUCUCAUGUUUCUGUCACUCAAGCUAGACAUCGAGGGGCAUGAACCCACAAUCAUGCAUAACGCUCCCUCUUGGAGUUACAAUCUACUACUCAAGCAAAGCAAUAAAUAGCAACAGAGAACAUGCAUGGAUCACUAAGGAACAUAAUAUAAAAGGAUAAUCGAAUAUAUAACUCAUAACAAUAUGAACAUAAUCUCAUAAUCCAUCGGAUCCCAACAAAUCGAGCAUAGCAAUAGCAAGAGAAUUACAUAGAUGCCUUGAUCAUGUAGGACAGCUCACAAAGACUAACCAUUGAAGCAAAAGAUUGGAGAGAAGACAUCACAUAGCUACUGGUCAUGGACCCAUGGUCUAAGGAGGACUACUCAGGGCACGUCCGGGAAGCGUCCAUGGCGGUGGAGAAGCUUCCGGAGGUCAAUCCUCCCUCCGGCAGGGUACCAGGAAGAGGUCUCCCGACGCUCCCGAUCUCAAAAGCGUUGCGGCGGCAGAAUGAUGGAGAAAUUCGCAAUUCUGGAAGUUAUGGAAGGAUUUACUCUCAAGAGUCUAAAUAUAGGCCAAAGGAGGGCACCGAAGGAGGUGGGGCCCACCCAAGCGGCUUCUUGGCGCGACCAGGGGGUAGNNNNNNNNNNNNNNNNNNNNNNNNNNNNNNNNNNNNNNNNNNNNNNNNNNNNNNNNNNNNNNNNNNNNNNNNNNNNNNNNNNNNNNNNNNNNNNNNNNNNAUACAUCUUCGUCUCAGUGACCUUGGUUAUCCUUAACCCUAACUCCUUACUUGUGGUUUACUUGUGUUAUUUGAGCAUACAUACAUUGCAUAUUGCUUGUGCUCAUUAUAUUGUGUUGGCUAUUUCUUGUACAAGAUUAAUCAUUCAAGCAUACCCUCUAUAUCCACACGUUCAUACUUGCAGCCCUUGAUAUAUCGUGUGAUAUAGUGUGAUCUAGUAUCUUGUGUUGUUCACCUACUUGUCGUGUGAUAUAGCUCAAGUAAGUUUGUGUAACUUACUUGUGCUUGUUAGUAACUGUAUUGUGUCCAUCUUGGUAGAUCGUGUUGUUGAUACACGUUGCAGUGCCUAGUGCAUUUAGGAUUUGUGCUUGACAAGUACACUCUUAGUUUAUUUCCGCAUUAGUUUCAAGCCAAAUCCGAAUAAGUUUUUAAAUAGCCUAUUCACCCCCCUCUAGGCGUCAUCGAGGUCUUUUCAAUUGGUAUCAUAGCUAGGUCUCUCUUUAAUUAGGUUUAUCGACCUAGAGAGUAUCGAUGUCGACUAUUGGAUUAGUGCACAAUGGCAUCUUUGACUUUGAUGGCACAAAUUAUACCCUAUGGAGAAUUCGUAUGCUUCAUCACUUUCGGGCCAUGGGCCCAAAUACUUUACGAAUUGUUCUUGUAGGGAUUGCCGACAAAAAGGAUGAUGCAUCUUCAUCUACUAAUGAAAUGUAUCUUGAUUGUGAGGCCUUUCUUGCCAUUCAUCGAACCAUACGUCGUGAAGUGUUCAAGUCUAUCUCGACUUGCAAGUCAGCUCAUGAAGUUUGGACUAAACUUGAAGAUAUAUAUGGUGGGUCCAAUCUCUAUGAAGACGGUAUUAUGAUGAAGGAGUUGGUGCAUGAGCUCUUCACUCUUUUCGAUCUUAAAGAGUCCACCACUACUCCCAUAUCCGAUUGCUUGCACACCUCAGCAUCUUCAAUCUCACAAGGUAAUGACAUGGUGAGUGAAGAAAUAUAUGUUGAUGAAAAUGGCAUAGCCUCUAUGGACACGAGCAUAUCUAGCACCACACAUAGUGUAAAUUAUUGUGCUGAUAGGUCAUGCAUUCCACCUAAAGAUUCCUUGACAAAUGUCUGUGGUGAUAUGCCUGCUUCCUCGUAUCCUCUUGAUCAAAAUAUCUUGUUUCUCCCUAGUUGCUCUAUGACUAACCAUUUAGGGGAAAUCAAGAAAUAUGAAGUACUUUUGGCUAAUGAAGAAUCUGAUUCACCAAAAGAAUCAUCAUCAACUCCUCCAGUUCACAUGUGCCUCAUGGCAAGAGGUAAUGAUGAGGUAUCAUCUUCCCUGUGCAAUAACGAUGAUAUUUGCGAUGAGGAUGAUGAUGAUGACUUGACUGAAAAUAUCUAUGUGAUCAAUAAAAUUCUUCAUAAAGCUAAAAAUAACUCUCUUCAAAGGUUCCAAGAUGUUCUUGCUUACUUUGAAAACUGUAAUGAUUCACUUAAUCAUGAACAAGCUAAAAGUGAACAACUUGAACAUGAACUUGAGAAGAGUCAUCAAGCAUGUAGAGACUUAAGAUCUUCAAAAGGAGAGAUUGAAGUUGCUCAUGAUAAACUUAAAAGGGAUUUUGAGGUCCUUCUCCUUGAAUGCAAUAAUGUCAAGGGAGAGCUCAUCAAAACCUCUAAGAUCUAUGAGGAGCUUCAAUCUACUCAUGAGAAGUCUCUAUUUGCUACUUACUCCUCUCAUAUUGUUGAUGAUACUUGUACAUCUAACUCUACCUCUUUUGAAGUAUCAACAUUGAAGGAGAAUGUUGAGCUACGUGCUCAACUUGAUUUACUAACUAGCAAUUAUGGGAAGUUGGAAGAAAACCAUGUAAUGCUCACAAGCUCUCAUGUCGAUCUUCUAACAUCCUAUAAUGUGCAAAAGUUAGCUCAUGAGGCUAUCAUCACCAAGGUAACAUCAAGCGAGCCUCAUGUGGGCAAUGACACUACUUCUGGUCAAAGUACUAUAUUUCCAUGUGCUAGUCCUCGUAAUUCGUCUACUCAUAAUGUUGCUACCUCAUGUGAUGAAUUACUUUCCUUGCCUUGUUGCUCUAACAUUGAAGCCCACACUUCCUCUAGUACUUUCAUUGAUACUAACCGUGCAGAGGAAAUCAAAGAGCUCAAGGCCCAAGUCACUUCUUUGAAUAAAGACUUGGAACAGUGUCAUGAAGGGAUGCCCACACUCAACAACGUCCUGUGUGAGCAAACAUCUCCGAAUGACAAAAAUGAGUUUGGAGUAAACUCAAACAAGAACAAGAGGGGCCUAGAACAAGUCAAGAAUUCGGCCAAAAUCAUUUGCUUCAAGUGCAAAGUUAAAGGGCACCAUGUUAGAUCUUGCCCUCUGAAGACGAAGUCUCAAAGUCACAAGCAACAAGGGAAGCGGCCACAGACUCAAUCACAUAUUCAACUACAAGUUGAAGGAAGGCCUCUUCCAAUAAGACCCAAACCAACACUCCCCAAGGUGAGAAAUCAACUGGGAAGAAAGCAAAGGGUAGAUGUUGCUACUUAUGUCGUGAGAAAGGUCACGUUGCUUCGUCUUGCACAAGAGGUAACUUAUCCAACCCAAUCACUAUUGAUGAUAUCUAUUCCCUUGGGAAGGAUAAGGUUGGCAAUGUGUUUGCCAAGUUUGUUGGUACUCAAAAUGGUGUCAAGAAAAGAACCAUUUGGGUUGCCAAGCCUAUUGUGAUUAACCUCUUAGGACCCAACGUAGUUGGGGACCAACAAGCUCAAACUUGAUCAAUAGGUGACUAUGGAGGACAUUAGAGACUUGGAUACAUAAUGAAGAAUUAAGGGGUCUUCAUCAUUCAUAUUAUCUCAAGCCAAGUCAUUCAGAUUAUCGAGUUUCUAUCUUAUAUCCAAUGUGCCUCCUUACGGUAACUUAUACUUAAACUGUUUACAUUGUUAGGUGCUUGCCCCCUUUUGCAUGUUGUGGUUUUGUACCUUGCAUGCGUUUGUAUAUGUUGUGCUUUCAACUUGCUUAUCUUGAGUAAUCAAGUAUGUGUUGCUUUGCACAUCAUGUACAUGUGAGUCUUGUAUUGAGCCUAUUUGCAUCUUGUCUGUAUUUUUGUUGGCUCUUGUGAGAGAUUAAUGGAUUAUCCCAUUGUGGGGGAGUGAUGUGCUUUGCACACCUCUCAAUCCUAUAAAUGUGUAUACAUGGGGAAUACCACUUAGUUUUGAUAUUUCAAGAUUAUCUAGUUUCUAUGUGGUAUGUCUUACUCAUGAGAAAUUCAAAUUCCAUAUGGUCCAUUAAUUAUCUCUUGUUGGUUUCAAUUUGCCACUUGUUAAUAUUGUUGGUUAUCACAUUAUGGGGGAGUAAUAUGCUAUGUGCAUAUUACAAACCUAGAAAAUGUGUACAUUUGAGGUGUUGCCACUUAGUGUUGAUAUUGUAAAUUAUCCUGUUCCUAGGUGGCAUAUUAGCUCUACAAGUGUCAUUUGCUUGCGUUUUAUGGGUAAAGAUGAUCUUGGAUAUAUUUGUGAUCUACUAAUGAGUAUCAUUUCAAAAAUACUUCUUGUCCUUGACAAUUGGUAUUCCCAUCAUGUGAUUGGAAUUGAUAAUCAUCUUUACACUGUAUUUUGUGUUUCGUUUGUCUUUCUUGCCUCUUAUGAAUCUAUUUUUUAACAUGUCUAGUGUGGUUAUAGAUAUAGAGAAAGUGAUGAUCCCAUCGUGUGCGUUUUGUAUUCAAAUGCAAAUUCUAUAUAAUGCACGUCCCUUGGGGGAGCUAUCCUAUUCUCUUUAGAACACUCUCUUUAUUCACCCAUCAUAAAAUCAUUUGAUCCCCAUCAAGUGUGUGUUGAUGGGAGGCAAGUCUUGCUCUUUAUGAUGCUUUGUGCCAUCAUGAAAAAUUGUAGAGGGCUUUGUUUGUUGGAACCUAGCUCUCUCUUGGAAACUAGAUACCUCAUGUUUGUUUUCCUUCAAUUGGUUUCUUGUUGCCUUCUAAUUGGCAUGUGUCAAUGGAUAUAUCAUUCCUUGAGGUAUCUUUUAAUUGAUAUCCUUCAAGUGAUAGUUCUUUUUGUUUUAGGAUCUUAUUAUCACUUGAUACCUUGUCUUUUGGUGACUAAUCAACUUUGUGUUGAGUUGAUUCUUAAGAGUCUUGAGCAUGCGUAUCAUAUCUACUAUAUACAACUUCUUUUGCUUGCUUUCCUUCUUUGACCCAAUAUAUAGGGGGAAUUCCACCUUGUCAUAAAUUGGCUAAAGUGUGCAUGAAAUUCAAAUUCAUAUCUAUAUGCACAUAUGUAUGUGGAGUUUGUCCUAUGUAUUGCUGGUUUUCUAACUCUUUGGUCCCAAUGAGUUUGGGCACCAUUUUGUUUGCUUUGUUGUUCCAAGAACAACUGGAGAUGCAUUGGAUGCUCGGCUCACCUAUAAGGAAGCUGUUGAGACCAUGUGAUUAUUGGAGCCAAGUUAGGAUGAUCAAAGAACAACCAUCUACUACAUCAAUCCAAUGUUGUCUCGGUAACAAGUAUCCACUUCAUGCAUUCUUUUCUUGCAAAGGACCCAACCUGUCUUUUCUUUUCCAGGUUGCAUCAUGGCAUGAAUCUCUUGAUUUGUUCUGGUAGUACUUGUUUGCUUUCUCAAAGCAUCCGAACGAUGAUGUCUUACUGCUAGUUGGGAUGUCUUUGAUGUUCGUAUGUUGGAAGUUCAUAUUAUACAAUAAGAAAACAUUAGGCCAUGUGCUAUGCUUCCAAGCAAAAGAUCUCAUUGAUAUAUUUAUGACUUCCCUUUUUGGAUAUCUAGUGUUCUUCCUUCUUGUAACCAUUUCGUGUGUACAUCCUUCUUUGUGGAUAUAUAUAUCAUCAUGAUUGUCUUCUACUUAGAAUCUUGGUCACAUGAGAGAAGUUACAUCUCUAAUUGAUAUCCUCUUUUCUUUCACGUCCAUCGCUGCAUUUCCUUUUUCGUUUUUGGUGGCAACGUGAAAGGAUUUGUUUUGAGUGCGUAUCUUAUUUUCCUACAUCUUGGUGCACUCUUUGGCCGUGAAGAUUAUUUUUCCUCAUGCUUGUCUUGAUGAGGGUUUUGCCAUUUUCAAUUAGUAUCCCUCCUCUUGACAAGAUUCUUACUUCCUAUCUUCACAAUGGGUUGUCACAAGCGUUGGUUCCUAUUUUAUUUAUUAGUAAGCUUGUGAACCCAUUUUCUAGUAUGUGUGUGUGGUAAUGAUAUGUCUUGCACUUUGUAUCUCAUAUUCAUCAAGACUAUGUUGAUGAGCAAUGCUCAUCCUUAUCUUAAGUCUUCUCAAGUGCUUUGCCAUGACUCACACACAUUACUUUGGUUGAGCUUAUUCUUAAGUUGCUUCCUUUACAUGUUGCUCAACCAUUAGUUUUGUGCAAUUGAUAUGCCUAUUGUCUCAUCUAUCUUCUUGCACUCGUUGUGUGUUUCUAUUAAUUCUGGGGGAGCAACGAUCCUAUUUUGUGCACCUGUGUCAAAUACAAUAAUAUCAUAUUAGUAAACAAAUCAUGGGGAGCUUCUCUAGUUUUUGAUAAAGCACUAUGUUGCCUUUAUCAUAAUAUCUUUUAUUUAUGUGGUUCGAAGGACCAUAUGAUUGUUUGUUCCAUCUGUAAUCCUUUGAUUGCCUGCCUCUAUCUUUGUAUGUCUUUGUGGCAUAUGAUUCUUUUUGCAAUUUUUGGUCCUUAAUAUAGUUUGUUUUCCUCCAACUACUUAUCAUUGUAUUUGUAUAUUUUUCUGCACUCAUUUGCUGAGAAGUACACAUUUUUUGGAGGACCAACUACUGUAUUUGCCUUCUAAACUGUUCGUCCAUUUUGGCAAUUGAUGCCAAUGGGGGAGAAGUUUAGAGAGUUUAUUUUGGAUAUGUUUAGAGGGUUUUGCUUUUAUUGCGUAAGCAUUUACAUCUUGCUCACAUGCAUUCAGCAUUUACAUCUUGCUCACAUGCAUUAUUACCUUGUAUGUGUGCGCUUGGUUAUGCUUAUUUCCUUAUAUGAACUCUCUUGAAGUGGUUGUCUUCAAUUACCAAAAUGGGGGAGAUUGUUAGAGCAUAUAUCUCCAUAUGUGGUUUUGGUAAUUGAUGACAAUUCCUAUGGACUAAUGGUUGCCUUAAGUUAUAUUUAUAGGAUUUGUCCAUAGGCACUUCUUGAAGUCCAUCUGUUGGGUUCAAGGAGUUUAUAUGUUGACCAAGAUGUUAUUCAAGUUAUUAUCCAAAGAAUGGUCAUAGAAACACUAGGUUGAUCAAGAUCUCAGACAAAGAGUAAAUCAAGAUGAUCAACACACAAAGCGUAUAAGAUGUACCGAGAGGGAUAAGUGAUCCCAUGGUAUGGUAAGCAUUGUCCAUUACGUGUUUGUGUACUAAUCCAUGGUCUUUGUGAGACUCCUAUGUGGGGGUUAGGUGUGUUUCCAUUGGGCUUGCGUCAAAAGGAAAAUCUCAUACAACCCAUGAAGGAUGACGUCAAGUGGUGAUCGUCAUCAAGAUUGUGGUGUGCAAGUUCAAGUGGAUCAGUACGAAUAUAUCACUGAAACUAUUGUCAAUGAUCAUGUGCUAACAAGGACAAGAUCAAGAUAAGCAUUUCUGAGCACUACAUGCUUGAUUCUUGUGGAUGUUCACAUGGUGGAUAGGACAAGAUCAAGAUAAGCAUUCUUGAGCACUACAUGCUUGAUUCUUGUGGAUGUUCACACAUGGUGGACAAAUGAAGAUAAAUACAUAAGCUAGGCUUUCCGCAUUGUGUAUGGGAAAGCUACUUGAAGACUUCAUCAUGUCUUGCUUUCAACUAGAGCCAAGAAGGAACAACAACAUCAAGCUCAGGUGAAAGGGCUAACUCAAAGGUAUCAGUUCCUUUGACGUUAGUUGUGCGGAGUGAUGAUCAGCGAAUAAAAGUAUACACUCAAGCAUGGAUCAUCAGUACUCUUUUAUGAUUCUUGAGUCCUUAGGGAUCCCGCACUAUUAAGAGGGGAUCACAGGUUUUGCGAUGAACUUGCUCAAACUACAUCAUCACUUUCUGCUCAGACCACAUCUCCACUGUUUUGUUGUUAUCUCAAAACAGAACCAGUGCCUCAGACAUCCGGCUUUCUCCGGACGUCCGAGGACCGGACAACUGACUCGUUUGGAAAUCCGGAAUCCUAUACCACAGAAAUCAGAGCCAUAUAACUCGGACUUCCGGCUACCUCCGGACGUCCGAGGCCCGGAUGUCCGGCCAAGUCCCGGAAAUCCGGAAGCCUGCACCAGUAGAAGUUGAGUUCUAUAUCUCGGAAAUCCGGCUCCCUCCGGACGACCGAGCGCCGGACGUCCAACACCCGUCGGAAAUCCGGAACCUACCACCAGUAGAAGUUGAGCUGUAUAACACGGACUUUCGGGCCACUCCGGACGUCCGUAUGCUGAUGAAUUCAAAUAUGUUCAGGCACAUCUACAGGCCUCGGACGACCGACCCCUGUCGGACGUCCGGCCGCUGAUGAAUUUAGAAGAGUUCCAGUCAUGCCUAAAAGUCUCGGACGUCCGACCCCGGUCGGACGUCCGGCCCCUCACGGACGCCCGGACUUCCGACAACUGUCGGACGUCCGGACCCUGUGUGACUUAAAGUGUCCCCAACGGCUCUUUUUCUCCCCACACUAUAAAUACCCCCUCCCACUUCGUGAGAGGGUUGCCUAACACAGCCUUAUCCUCAUAAGAACACAUUUCCACCUCACACACAUUUGCUCACUCCAAAUCUUAGAUCCCAAGAGCAUUUGUGAGCCCCUUUGAGAGUUGUUCCAAUCAAAAGAUAGAUCUUCUCCCUCUCCUUCUCUCAACCCAAGCUAUUUGUGAUUUGAGCAAGUUUUGAGCAUUCCCCGUGAUCUUGUUACUCUUGGAGGUUGAAGACUCCUAGGCGGUAGGAGUUCUUCGGAGAGGAAUCAAUUGAUGUGAUUUCCCCCGGAAAAGUUUGUGAGGGUUUGGAAGCCACCUCAAAGGCUUACCACUAGUGAUUGAGAAACGCCUUCAUGGUGUUAUCUCAAAGGGAGAAUAGGGUGAGCCUUCGUGGCGUUGGUGUGCCUUCGUGGUAACAUCCACCUCUCUAACGAUGACUAGCUUCCCUCCAAGGAAGUGAACAUCGGGAUACAUCUUCGUCUCAGUGACCUUGGUUAUCCUUAACCCUAACUCCUUACUUGUGGUUUACUUGUGUUAUUUGAGCAUACAUACAUACAUUGCAUAUUGCUUGUGCUCAUUAUAUUGUGUUGGCUAUUUCUUGUACAAGAUUAAUCAUUCAAGCAUACCCUCUAUAUCCACACGUUCAUACUUGCAGCCCUUGAUAUAUCGUGUGAUAUAGUGUGAUCUAGUAUCUUGUGUUGUUCACCUACUUGUCGUGUGAUAUAGCUCAAGUAAGUUUGUGUAACUUACUUGUGCUUGUUAGUAACUGUAUUGUGUCCAUCUUGGUAGAUUGUGUUGUUGAUACACGUUGCAGUGCCUAGUGCAUUUAGGAUUUGUGCUUGACAAGUACACUCUUAGUUUAUUUCCGCAUUAGUUUCAAGCCAAAUCUGAAGAAGUUUCUAAAUAGCCUAUUCACCCCCCCUCUAGGCGUCAUCGAGGUCUUUUCACUAUCUUGCUAUUCUUUCCUCUUUUUUCUAUCCGGAGUGUUGAAGAUAUUUCAGAAGUCCUGAUUUUCGAUGCUUCAAUUAUUUCGAGGUUCUCAACCUCAUCUAGUUCUCUUCAUACCGGUGCAAUCUCUUUAUCUAUUCAAUUGUUUUCAACGGUGGUUUCUUUGAGUGGGCCCAUGGCCCACAAGUUUUUCCCAAGAUCUUAUCUUCCUCUUGUACUCUUUCCCGGAGAUCAUUAAUUCUUUUCGAUUACGACAUAAGUAUGAAUUUCAUCAGUCAUAUCCCUUCUUCAAGAUCAAUUUGAAUUAAUUCUCAUAUUUGGCUCAACCUUGCAUUCUUCUUUAUUUCGUAGUGUCUCAGACAUUCUUGGUGGUGUUCUUCUCGUCAUUCUCUCCAUUGGAGAUUGAAGGAGUGUUUAUCUCAUAUCUUGGUGCCAUCAUCUUAAUUGUUCCCAAUCAUGAGUGGUUCAUUUCUUGCUAUCCGGUGCAUCUCUGGAUUGUUUCAUUCUUGAUCCUCCGAAGGCCAUAAUUUUAGAAGAUUCUUCGUUCUCAGCUUUCAGCUUUCGUCCUCAAUUCUUCUCAAUUGUUGUCUCUUCGUUCAUCUCUCUAUUAUUCUGGUGCCUUGUUCAAGUUUUCUGUUAGGUGGCUCAUGAUCUCUUCAUUAUCUUGUAUCUCCAUUAAUUCGUGGUGUUCCCAUUCAAUUGUGAAUUCUUACCGGUGAUCCCUUCAAUUAUGCCUCAAGCGGUGCUUAUCUCUCUGUCUCUUCAAGAUUCUUUCAAUAGGAAUAAGUUGUGUGUUUAAUCCGUUGUUUGUCUUCAAUUUAAUUUGAUGAAGGAUGAGCAUACCAUAAUUCUUAUUCUUGUUGCAUCAAGUGAUCCCAAUUCUUCGUCCGGAGUGGCUCAUGAUAUCAAUUCCUAUUUCUCAAGUGUUUUUAUCUUUUCGUCUUCGGAGUUCCAAGUUUUCUCAAGUAUCUUUCCGUGAAGCUUCAUCGAAGUCUUUGCAAGGCUUCAAUCUUAUUCUUUCAUCCUUCAUAUCUUGCAUCAUCCAUUUGAUACGAGGCUCGUCAUGGUGGUUCUUCAAGGAUGUGAUUUUUUUCCUCAAAGUGUUCUUCAAGAUUCCUGUUGGAGUACCUUGAUACGUCCAUUUUGCAUCAUGUUUUCAUGUUGAUAUUUAUCGCUUCUUUGGCUGUUAUUUCACUUCACGGUACUAUUCUUAUGCCUUUUCUCUCUUAUUUUGCAAGGUUUACAUGAAGAGGGAGAAUACCGGUAACUGGAAUUCUGGCCUGAAAGUGGAGCAAAGUUGAGAUACCUAUUCUGCGCAACUCCAAACGCCGUGAAAAUCAACGGAGAUUUUUUUCCCAAUUUAUAAAAAAUACUGGGCCAAAGAAGUGCCAGAGGGGCGCCAGGGGGUGGCCACAAGCCUGCAUGAUGCGACCACCCCCCCAGGUCGCGCCAUGGGGGCUUGUGGGCACCCUGCUGGCCCACUGGCCCCCUCUUUUGCUAUAUGGAGGGUUUCGUGCAGGAAAAAAUCAGAAGGGGGCUUUUUCGUGGUUUCACCGCUGCCACGAGGCGGAACUUGAGCAGAACCAAUCUAGAGCUCCGGCAGGAUGAUCCUGCCGGGGAAACUUCCCUCCCGGAGGGGGAAAUCGUCGCCAUCGUCAUCACCAACACUCCUCUCAUCGGAGGGGACUCGUCACCAUCAACAUCUUCAUCAGCACCAUCUCAUCUCCAAACCCUAGUUCAUCUCUUGUAACCAAUCUCCAUCUUGCGACUCCGAUUGGUACUUGUAAGGUUGCUAGUAGUGUUGAUUACUCUUUGUAGUUGAUGCUAGUUGGAUUACUUGGUGGAAGAGUUUAUGUUCAGAUCCUUGAUUCUACUCAUUACACCUCUGAUCAUGAUUAUGAUUAUGCUUUGUGAGUAGUUACUUUUGUUCCUGGGGACAUGGGAUAAGUCAUGCUAAUAAUAGUCAUGUGAAUUUGGUAUUCGUUCGGUAUUUUGAUAUGUUGUAUGUUGUUUUUCCUCUAGUGGUGUUAUGUGAACGUCGACUACAUAACACUUCACCAUUAUUUGGGCCUAGAGGAAGGCAUUGGUAAGUAGUAAAUAGAUGAUGGGUUGCUAGAGUGACAGGAGCUUAAACCCUAGUUUAUGUGUUGCUUCGUAAGGGCCUGAUUUGGAUCCACUAGUUUAAUGCUAUGGUUAGACUUUGUCUUAAUUCUUCUUUCGUAGUUGCGGAUGCUUGCGAGAGGGGUUAAUCAUAAGUGGGAUGCUUGUCCAAGUAAGGGCAGUAUCCAAGCGCCGGUCCACCCACAUAUCAAACUAUCAAAGUAACGAACGUGAAUCAUACGAACAUGAUGAAACUAGCAUGACAGAAAUUCCCGUGUGUCCUCGGGAGCGUUUUUCCUCCUAUAAGACUUUGUACAGGCUUGUCCCUUGCUACAAAAGGGAUUGGGGCACUUUGCUGCACUGUUGCUACUUUUGUUACUUGUUGCUUGCUACGAAUCAUCUCACCACACAAUUACUUGCUACCGAUAAUUUCAGUGCUUGCAGAUAUUUCCUUGUUGAAAACCACUUGUCAGAUCCUUCUGCUCCUCGUUGGGUUCGACACUCUUACUUAUCAAAAGGACUACGACUGAUCCCCUAUACUUGUGGGUCAUCAAGACUCUUUUCUGGCACCGUUGCCGGGGAGUGAAGCGCCUUUGGUAAGUGGAACUUGGUAAGGAAACAUUCAUAUAGUGUGCUGAAAUUUAUUGUCACUUGUCACUAUGGAUACUAAUCCUUUGAGGGGCUUGUUCAGGGUAUCUUCACCUCAAACGGAAGCACAAAGAGUUGCUCCUCAACCUGCCGCACCUACUGAAAUUUUUUGCUUUGAAUUUCCUUUGGGUAUGCUUGAGAAACUGCUGGCUAAUCCUUUUACAGGAGAUGGAACAUCACAUCCAGACUUGCAUCUGAUCUAUGUGGAUGAAGUUUGUGGUUUAUUUAAGCUUGCAGGUGUGCCCGAGGAUGAGGUCAAGAAGAAGGUCUUUCCUUUAUCUUUGAAGGAUAAGGCGUUGACAUGGCAUAGGCUAUGUGAUGAUACUGGAUCACGGGACUACAAUUGGUUGAAAUUGGAAUUUCAUCAAAAGUUUUAUCCUAUGCAUUUAGUACAUCGUGAUCGGAAAUUAUAUUUAUAAUUUUUGGCCUCGUGACAGAGAAAGCAUCGCUCAAGCGUGGGGGAGGCUUAAAUCAAUGCUAUAUUCAUGCCCCAAUCAUGAGCUCUCGAGAGAAAUUAUCAUUCAGAACUUCUAUGCUCGACUUUCUCAUGAUGAUCGCAUCAUGCUUGACACUUCUUGUACCGGUUCUUUUAUGAAGAGAGAUAUUGACUUCAAACGGAAUUUAUUGGAGAGAAUUAAACGCAACUCUGAAGAUUGGGAGCUUGAAGAAGGUAAGGAGUCAGGUAUGAAUUUCACUUUUGAUUGCGUUAAAUCCUUUGUUGAGAUAAAUACUUUUUGUGACUUUAGCGCUAAGUAUGGACUUGACUCUGAGAUAGUAGCUUCAUUGUGUGAAUCCUUUGCUGCCCAUAUUGAUCUCCCCAAAGAGAAGUGGUUUAAAUAUCAUCCUCCGUUAGAAGUCAAUGUAGUUAAACCCACUCCAGUUGAAGAGAAAGUCAUUGCCUAUAAUGAUCCUGUGGUUCCCAGUGCUUACAUUGAGAAACCACCUUUCCCUGUUAGGAUAAAGGAUCAUUCUAAAGCUUCAACUGUCAUACGUAGAGGCUAUAUUAGAACACCUACACCCCCUGAGCAAAAUAGAGUUGAACCUAGCAUUGCUAUUAUCAAAGAUCUUCUGUCUAAAGAAGUUGAGGGACAUAAUAUUCACUUUUGUGAAGAUGCUGCUAUAAUUGCUAAACCUCACGUUAGAGACAAACAUAGGCCUGUUGUUGGCAUGCGUGUGGUUUCUGUUAAGAUAGGAGAUCAUUGUUAUCAUGGUUUAUGUGACUUGGGUGCUAGUGUUAGUGGAAUACCUCAAUCCUUAUACGAUGAAGUCAAAGAUGAGAUUGCACCUUUUGAGAUAGAACCCAUUGAUGUCACUAUUGACCUUGCCAAUAGAGAUACUAUGUGCCCUGUGGGAAUUGUUAGGGAUGUUGAAGUCUUGUGUGGUAAAACGAAGUAUCCUGCUGAUUUCCUCGUUCUUGCUACUGCACAAGAUAGCUUUUGUCCCAUCAUAUUUGGCAGACCUUUUCUCAAUACCGUCAAUGCUCAUAUUGACUAUGAGAAGCAAACUAUCACUGUUGGCUUUGAAGGUGUGUCACACGAGUUCAAUUUCUCUAAGUUUGGUAGACAACCUCAUGAAAAGGAGUUGCCUAGUAGGGAUGAAACUAUUGCCUUAGCUUCUAUUGCCGUGCCUCCUACUGAUCCCUUAGAGCAAUACUUGCUUGAGCAUGAAAAUGAUAUGCAUAUGGAUGAAAGGGAUGAGAUAGAUAGAGUUGUCUUAGAACAAUAUCAUAUCCUUAAGAAUAACUUGCAUGUUGAACUGCUUGGGGAUCCACCCCCACCAAAGGGUGAUCCUAUGUUCGAGCUUAAACAGUUGCCUGAUACUCUUAAGUAUGCCUAUCUUGAUGAAAAGGAGAUAUAUCCUAUUAUUAUUAGUGCUAGCCUCUCAGAGCAGGAAGAAAAGAAGUUACUAAAAACUCUGAGGAAGCACCGUGCUGCUAUAGGAUAUACUCUUGAUGAUCUUAAGGGCAUUAGUCCCACUCUAUGCCAGCACAAGAUCAAAACUGAUCCUGAAUUCAAACCAGUUGCUGAUCAUCAAAGGAGAUUGAAUCCUAAGAUGAAAGAAGUAGUGAGAAAAGAAAUACUAAAGCUCCUGGAAGUGGGUAUUAUCUAUAGCGUUGCUCACAACGAUUGGGUGAGUCCGGUGCAUUGCGUUCCUAAGAAGGGAUGCAUCACCGUUGUCCCUAAUGAUAAGGAUGAGUUGAUCCCACAAAGGAUUAUUACUGGCUAUAGGAUGGUGAUUGAUUUUAGGAAGUUGAGUAAGGCCACUAGGAAAGAUCAUUACCCUUUGUCUUUUAUCGACCAAAUGCUAGAAAGACUAUCCAAACACACACACUUCUGCUUUCUAGACGGUUAUUCUGGUUUCUCCCAAAUACCAGUUGCACAAUCUGAUCAGGAGAAAACCACUUUCACCUGCCCUUUUGGUACCUUUGCUUGUAGACGUAUGCCUUUUGGCUUGUGUAAUGCACCUGCCACCUUUGAAAGAUGUACGAUGGCUAUAUUCUCUGACUUUUGUGAAAAGAUUUUCGAGGUUUUCAUGGAUGACUUCUCCGUUUACGGGUCUUCCUUUGAUAAUUGCCUCAGCAACCUUGAUCGAGUCUUGCAGAGAUGUAAAGACACCAAUCUUGUCUUGAAUUGGGAGAAGUGCCACUUUAUGGUUAAUGAAGGCAUCGUCUUAGGACGUAAAAUUUCUGAAAGAGGUAUUGAACUUGGAGGUAAGUAUCGAUGAAUUAUUAUUGUUGACAUUACCCUUGAGGUAAGCAGUUGGGAGGCAAAACUAUAAGCCCCUAUCUUUCUUUGUGUCCAGCUGAAACUUUGAUCUCAUGAGUACCACGUGAGUUGUAGCAAUUGUAGAGAACGAAAGAAUGAUUGAGUAUGUGGAUUUGCUUUACAAGCUCUUAUUUGACUCUUUCUGAUGUUGUGAUAAAUUGCAAUUGCUUCAAUGACUAAAGGCUAUCGGUUGUUACUCCUCGGUAAGGUUCUUGAUCCAUGCUUUACUUUGUGAAGGAAUUAUCACUUCAACAUGAGAGUUUAUAUGUUGGUAUUGCUGUUCUGAUCUUGAUCAUGAUGCAUGCAUGUUUGUAUCUUGUUUUGUCGACACCUCUCUCCCUAAACAUGUGGACAUAUUUAUUGAGCUAGGCUUUCGCUUGAGGACAAGCGAGGUCUAAGCUUGGGGGAGUUGAUAAGUCCAUUUUGCAUCAUGUUUUCAUGUUGAUAUUUAUCGCUUCUUUGGCUGUCAUUUCACUUCACGAUACUAUUCUUAUGCCUUUUCUCUCUUAUUUUGCAAGGUUUACAUGAAGAGGGAGAAUACCGACAACUGGAAUUCUGGCCUGAAAGUGAAGCAAAGUUGAGAUACCUAUUCUGCGCAACUCCAAACGCCGUGAAAAUCAACGGAGAUUUUUUUCCCAAUUUAUAAAAAAUACUAGGCCGAAGAAGUGCCAGAGGGGCGCCAGGGGGUGUCCACAAGCCUGCACGGCGUGGCCACCCCCCAGGCCGCGCCAUGGGGGCUUGUGGGCACCCUGUUGGCCCACUAGGCCCCUUCUUUUGCUAUAUGGAGGGUUUCGUCCAGGAAAAAAAUCAGAAGGGAGCUUUUUCGUGGUUUCUCCGCCGCCACGAGGCGGAACUUGAGCAGAACCAAUCUAGAGCUCCGGCAGGACGAUCCUGCCGGGGAAACUUCCCUCCCGGAGGGGGAAAUCGUCGCCAUCGUCAUCACCAACACUCCUCUCAUCGGAGGGGACUCGUCACCAUCAACAUCUUCAUCAACACCAUCUCAUCUCCAAACCCUAGUUCAUCUUGUAACCAAUCUCCAUCUCGCGACUCCGAUUGGUACUUGUAAGGUUGCUAGUAGUGUUGAUUACUCUUUGUAGUUGAUGCUAGUUGGAUUACUUGGUGGAAGAGUUUAUGUUCAGAUCCUUGAUGCUACUCAUUACACCUCUGAUCAUGAUUAUGAUUAUGCUUUGUGAGUAGUUACUUUUGUUCCUGAGGACAUGGGAUAAGUCAUGCUAAUAAUAGUCAUGUGAAUUUGGUAUUCGUUCGGUAUUUUGAUAUGUUGUAUGUUGUUUUUCCUCUAGUGGUGUUAUGUGAACGUCGACUACAUAACACUUCACCAUUAUUUGGGCCUAGAGGAAGGCAUUGGGAAGUAGUAAAUAGAUGAUGGGUUGCUAGAGUGACAGAAGCUUAAACCCUAGUUUAUGCGUUGCUUCGUAAGGGGCUGAUUUGGAUCCACUAGUUUAAUGCUAUGGUUAGACUUUGUCUUAAUUCUUCUUUCGUUGUUGCGGAUGCUUGCGAGAGGGGUUAAUCAUAAGUGGGAUGCUUGUCCAAGUAAGGGCAGUAUCCAAGCGCCGGUCCACCCACAUAUCAAACUAUCAAAGUAACGAACGUGAAUCAUAUGAACAUGAUGAAACUAGCAUGACAGAAAUCCCUGUGUGUCCUCAGGAGCGUUUUUCCUCCUGUAAGACUUUGUACAGGCUUGUCCCUUGCUACAAAAGGGAUUGGGGCACUUUGCUGCACUGUUGCUACUUUUGUUACUUGUUGCUUGCUACGAAUCAUCUCACCACACGAUCACUUGUUACCGAUAAUUUCAGUGCUUGCAGAUAUUUCCUUGCUGAAAACCACUUGUCAGAUCCUUCUGCUCCUCAUUGGGUUGGACACUCUUACUUAUCGAAAGGACUACGAUUGAUCCCCUAUACUUGUGGGUCAUCAUAGCUCAAGUAUUCUUUCUCUUGCAUUUCCAAUGCGUUGUUCUCCUUUAUCCUUUGAGGUGGUAUUAUAGCAUUCUUGUUGGUGGAGGAGUCACGAAGAGAAGUUGUUUCAAAAAUUAAAUAUGUAAACCCACCAAUUCUUUGAUCAUGUGUUAUUUUUCAACCCGUGAUUUCUUCAUUGAGCUAUCUUGGUUUGGAUUUCACCUAAAGCUUUUCCUAAGGAUUGUUGCUAUUAUGGUGAUUAUCAUUGAUCCGAGUUCUCAAUGUAUGCUCUAGCUAAAAGAAGUUUUCCUUCUCUUGGUUCUCCCAAUCAAUCUUUGUUUCCGUUAGUGGCUGGUUGUCAACUCUUUGUUAGAGAUGGUUUUCAUAAGUCCACUACAAGCUUGCAUGCNNNNNNNNNNNNNNNNNNNNNNNNNNNNNNNNNNNNNNNNNNNNNNNNNNNNNNNNNNNNNNNNNNNNNNNNNNNNNNNNNNNNNNNNNNNNNNNNNNNNCUUUACACGUGGAACUGGAUUUAUGCACCGGGCUUUCCAGGGUAUGAUGCUAUUUAUGAUUCAGUGCUACAUAAUGGUUGAAGUCUGUAACUCACACAUGUUGUUUGUAGAUAAAUAGUAGGCUACAUAGUGAUGUCAUGAAUUCAUAGACUUAAGUGCAUAGGAAUGAUCAAAAUCAGAAUUUUCAUCUUCCCAGUGUAGAGGCAAUUUAUGUAAUCAUCUGUGCAGACUUUGCUGUUAGUGCUGUUAGUCCUUGAUUUUCAGUCAACUGCAUAAGUCAAAGGACCGCAGCCAGUUCUAAAAGUGUUAUUACCACCUUGUGCUGUUUACCUUAGCUAGAUGUCAACAAUAUUUUUGUUAUGGCAUAGCUUCAAAGACUUAGCCAUGGACAGGGGUGCGUGGAAGUUAGCUAUCCACGUUCCAGAGCCAUGACUUGGUUUCGAGAUCUUAUGGGUUUCAACUCUAGCCUACCCCAACUUGUUUGGGACUGAAAGGCUUGGUUGUUGUUGUUGCAUAGCUUCAAUUUUCAGGCUAUGGAUGUGCACACAGUUGCCACAGACCAUCAAAAUAAAAUUUAUGCUAUGUCACAAGAAGAUUAGUGUCUUGCUGCAUCAAAAUGCACGUAGUUUGUUUGCCUUGCAUGCCUAGCUAGAUUUCAGGAAUUCUUGACCUAUGAUUUCACAAUAAAUUUGUUAUUUAACUGAUGUUUUUUUAAUGCAGCAUAUGCUAAAUACAGAGGUCCACUGGGCACUGUUAGAAAAGGAGUUACUGGUAAAUCAAAUUUCAGCACCUUCAUAAUCUUAUAUUCUUACAUUACUCUUAUUUGCUUAUCUUAUACGUAAAUCAUAUUUUACAUUGCAAUAAGGUAUUAAUACUGAUGUUCAUUUUUAGCAAAGAAGCAUGCAUAUCUUAAUAUCUUAAUUAAAUAGAAACAGUACUUUGAACAGUACAUAUGUGCUGCUGAACUCUGCAAGUGGAAGUUGAUUUUUCUCCAUGUUCAUAUAUAGNNNNNNNNNNNNNNNNNNNNNNNNNNNNNNNNNNNNNNNNNNNNNNNNNNNNNNNNNNNNNNNNNNNNNNNNNNNNNNNNNNNNNNNNNNNNNNNNNNNNUAAUCGGAAAGAAGGGAGUACUGUGAUUUGUAGUCUACUCAUUUUGACCCAAAUAUAACAAAAGGAGACCCAUUUUGAUUUAUGUAUUUAUAUAUUCUAAUCCGCUACAUAUGACAAUGAAAUAAACAUCAACGACAAUUCAUAAGUGCACACUACACAUGUGUAUGUGUAUAUUAAUUUUCAGAAUUUUUGGAGGUAUAGCAAAAAAAUUWGAAAAAUAAAGGGCUCAGUGGAGCCCCUCCUCCAAAUCUCAUUUUCAGCAUAGAUUAUGGCCAUUUUGAAGCUCCCUUUUUCUUAGCAAUUUGUAAUUCAAAAUUUAGAAGCAUACAGCUAGUGCCCACUACUCCGUCACCUCAACUUACAAAGCAUAGUUCCACGAAACCACUCGCUCGCCCAUGACUUAUGGGGUCUGAAAGACUUGGGCUCCUUCCAAGGUCUAUCUUUUUGCCUGACUUGCUAUUCAAACCGGAUUUGGACUGCCGAUAAGCUCAAGAGGCACGGUUGGNNNNNNNNNNNNNNNNNNNNNNNNNNNNNNNNNNNNNNNNNNNNNNNNNNNNNNNNNNNNNNNNNNNNNNNNNNNNNNNNNNNNNNNNNNNNNNNNNNNNAAUGUGCUCGGAUCACUUCCGCAGCCUUUUUAAAAUAUAAACUGUUUUGGCAGUUUAAAACAUGUGGAUCUAUAAUAUACUCCCUUAGUCACAAAUUACUUGUCUUAUAUUUGUUCACAUAUGGAUGUAUUUAGACAUAUGUUAAUGUUAGAUACAUCCGUAGAUGUAUCUAGACAAACCCAAGACAAGUAAUUUGGAACAUCGAUAAUAUGCGUUGUACUUACUACAACCUCUAGGAGUAAUGACUUAAAAAAUAACUUAUACUUCAUUCGUUUCAAAAAGUUGUUUUAGAUUUGUCUAGAUAUGAAUGUAUUUAAUCAUGUUUUAGUAUUUAGAUACAUUCAUUUUUAGACAAAUUUAAAAUAAGAAUUUUAAGACGAAGGGAGUAUAAGUUGGGAGUAUUGUUCAGAUACACGAUGGAUCUACUUAACUGACCUAAAACGUCUUCCAUUUGUUGCAUCAAAAAWAUCUUGAUAACAAAUUAUAGGAUCACACUUUGAUUUUCCUUUUGUGAAACUUCGGUUUAUUUAUUUUAAAAAUUUUGAGAUCCGAUGGACAGGAGCCUAUGCGCCUAUCUAUACGGUCCUUUUGCCGUAGGUGCCAACAUGCCUCGGCAAAUUUAUGUGCUCCCUCGGUUCCUAAAUAUCAGUCUUUUUUAGAUGUNNNNNNNNNNNNNNNNNNNNNNNNNNNNNNNNNNNNNNNNNNNNNNNNNNNNNNNNNNNNNNNNNNNNNNNNNNNNNNNNNNNNNNNNNNNNNNNNNNNNUUGUGCGCAUACAUUUAUGGGCUAUGUUUGUCACGAUUAUGGUAUUUCAUUUUUGAAAAUCUUAUUGUUUAUUUCAAUAUGUUAGCUGGCCAUUUGUUUAGAGCAGAUUUAUAUAAAAUAAACCGUCAAUUUGGUGCAAUUUCAAAAAAAAGUAAGUCGAUUAAGUGCUAGGUGCGUUUUCUACACAACUGCCUGCCCACCAAGCGCGGUAUUAGGAGGAGAUGUAUCAGAAAUUUGUUUUGGAUUUCAGAAAGAAAAAGAAAUUUGAAGUACCUAAAAAUUCAAAAAUAUCAAAUACAUAUAGAUGUGUUCUACAUGUUUGUGAACACAUAUGAUGAAAUCCAUGUGAGCUAUAGGGAAAAACAAUUUAUGUGGAUUUUUAGAACAUGCACUACUUUAAUGGUUUUGUUGUUUUUGUAUACCUCAUAAGUUAAUGUAUUUCAUAAUGAAAUUUAUACAAAUGUGUAAUCAUGUUGAUUUUCUAAAGGAUACUUGAUAAUUCAAAAAAAAAUGGAACGGAGGCAAAAGAUUUGCCUUAUCCAUUAAUUAAGAAGUUAAGAGUUGCUUUUUUACGACCAAAAAGCAAUAGAAUUAUUACAAAGCCACUACUCGUGGCAUGAUGUUUCUCAAGUGCUUCGUGCCAGCGGUAAUUUAGAGUCGGACGGUAGUGUNNNNNNNNNNNNNNNNNNNNNNNNNNNNNNNNNNNNNNNNNNNNNNNNNNNNNNNNNNNNNNNNNNNNNNNNNNNNNNNNNNNNNNNNNNNNNNNNNNNNGUUAAUGUGGCAAACAUUUAUACAAAGAAAGAUGAAACCGCAUACAUAACAGCUUAAGUCAAGUAUCCAUGAAAAUAUGAUCUGGGCCAAARRAAAUCACAAGAUAUGUAGACAUCCAAAAUAUGACUGGGUAGAAAAGACUGAAAGUUGAUAUCAUACUGCAAAAGGUAGUGAAACAAAUUGAUACUCAUUCCUCAAUAACGAGGACUAAAUUCAUACACCAUCUUAGGAGACAUACUACGAGAGGAAAAACUAUCAACAUGGAAGCAUGGACAAUAAGCUAAAUGCCCCACUUCAACCACUACUCAGCAUUCCAUUAUUAAUGUUGAACCAUCCAAGAAUUAUUUGCUUGCUGAACAAAGUAAGGACGAAAAGAAUAAACAAGUACAUAUCAAGCACCUUUCAUAUUGAUGCCUCCAGCACAUUCAUUCUUAAAAGCAAGAAACAAUAGGGGAUGACCUUCUUGCAAUUUUACUAAGAAGGAAGGUAAAUGCGCGCAUCAAGAUUAUCAUGGUUGCUGCAGCAUGCGUAGGAUGNNNNNNNNNNNNNNNNNNNNNNNNNNNNNNNNNNNNNNNNNNNNNNNNNNNNNNNNNNNNNNNNNNNNNNNNNNNNNNNNNNNNNNNNNNNNNNNNNNNNUCGAUUAGUCCCACAUCGCUCGCGGAGCACGGCGGGGCAGGGUCGGACGAGUAUAAAUGGAGGGGCGGGGGCACGGUUGUAAGUCAUACCUUUCUCGGCCUUUUGGCUAAGAUCAAGUGUAGUAUCUGUUCUUAUCAGUUUAAUAUCUGAUAUGUGGGCCAUGCGCCCACAACGAUAUUAAAUUUAUUUUAUGGGGAGGAUCCACCACAGUGGCUUGCUGCUGGGCUCCUCACGCGUUCCCUGGACGUUGCACUGCUGUCCAGGUGUGGCGCACCCCAACCAAAUCUAAAUUAACUAUUUUGAUCGGGUUAAGUUGAGGUGGCUGAAGUAUUAAGGUUUUGAACACUGUUCUACCGGUUGAAUGCCCAUUGCAGCACUCAAGCUAAUGUUGUAUUUAAAAAUAGGCGAAGCUUUCUUGAAAAAGUAUGGAUUAUUGUUUUGUUUUGUGAACAUAGUACAAGUAAGGAAUAGAUGCAUUAUCGUAUUUAUAUUUCUGAAUAAGUGUCAUUUAUUGCCUCUGACUGUUUCAUGAAAAUUGGACGGGACUGAAAUAUUCUGCUGGGCACUGGACAGCUUAGCCAUUUGUGGGUGUGUGAUUUGUCUCACGAUUUUAUAGACCUCUUUCGAAUAUCUUUCUGCCCAUGCAGGCAUUGCCGCAAAAUCAUUAUCUUUGAUUUAUAAAAAUUUAGCAACGGAUAUUCAGGAUUUCAACAAUAAGUAGUUUCUUUUUCCAUUCGUUACUUAACCCCCUUCACGCACACUAUCGUGUAAGUGCGUUGUAUGCGACGACUCUCUCUACAUGUNNNNNNNNNNNNNNNNNNNNNNNNNNNNNNNNNNNNNNNNNNNNNNNNNNNNNNNNNNNNNNNNNNNNNNNNNNNNNNNNNNNNNNNNNNNNNNNNNNNNUAAAUUUUGAAUUACAAAUUGCUAAGAAAAAGGGAGCUUCAAAAUGGCCAUAAUCUAUGCUGAAAAUGAGAUUUGGAGGAGGGGCUCCACUGAGCCCUUUAUUUUUUCAAUUUUUUUUUGCUAUACCUCCAAAAAUUCUGAAAAUUAAUAUACACAUACACAUGUGUAGUGUGCACUUAUGAAUUGUCGUUGAUGUUUAUUUCAUUGUCAUAUGUAGCGGAUUAGAAUAUAUAAAUACAUAAAUCAAAAUGGGUCUCCUUUUGUUAUAUUUGGGUCAAAAUGAGUAGACUACAAAUCACAGUACUCCCUUCUUUCCGAUUAAUAGUUUCAUCUAAAAAAAUUAGUUUUUAUUAUACUAGGCUUAUUUUGAGUCUAAUUGAGUUAAACUGCUUUGAUUCGCACGUCAUAUUUAAUUCAUAGAGAUAAAAGAAAGAGAAUAUUUAAUUCAUAGAGAUAAAGARAAGGAUUAUUGGCUAUACAWUUUUUUCUACAUGCAUCAUGCAAGUUCAAUAAAAAGAAGAAUGCUACAUUUAUUGACUCAAAAUUUAAUAUAUGAGAAAUAUUUUAUUGACUAAUCAAAACUAGUGUCAUCCACUCACAAUUCAUCUUGAUUGAUGAGAUUUCAGAUUUAAAUCCUAUAAACCAAAAGAAGCAAAUAUUAUUUAAUACAAAAAGAUCUUAUGUGNNNNNNNNNNNNNNNNNNNNNNNNNNNNNNNNNNNNNNNNNNNNNNNNNNNNNNNNNNNNNNNNNNNNNNNNNNNNNNNNNNNNNNNNNNNNNNNNNNNNAGAUUGGAUUGGAUUUGUUUGCUGUAUUACAUACUAAAAUAUUCCCUGUUUAAUCUUCAUUUUGGGGGAAAAUAGAAGUAUGGCAUUUGGCCAGGUGAAAUGUUAUAAUUGGUUACACAACUGGAUGUCGCUGACAACCCAUUGCUCAAUUACAAAUCAUGGAUAGAUGGAAAAGGCUGACCUCCAGUACAUGAUGGAUGACGAAUUUGUUCUUGAAUCAUCAAACUUACCCAAAUGUAUUUUGCAGUUAGUCCUCUGAAUGUGCUUCUAAAUUGGUAGUUGAGAGUAAGGACCUAGUCUUCUACUAUCAUUAAAUAUAUUGGGGGGGGGGCGUAAAUCCAGGGUAUGGUGCUAGCCUCCUACUGUCCUUUUUCUUUUCUUUUUCCAGUAAUAUAAGUUUUUUUUGCAGUAUGCACCAUGAUAGAUUUAUUGUGAAGUUCCUUGGCAUUUGUUAAUGUUUGACAUCACAAACUUACACCAACGUAUUUCUGAAUUCUGAUUACGCCGUUUUAUGUCAUCAUAUGUGGAAUUUUAUGAGGACUUUGUCAUUGGUUAAAUGACAUAAGAUCCAAUAGCAUUUCUAUAGUCUAACUUUACAUGUUGCCGGUGCCAACUAGAAUGCACUCAUUGGAGCAUAAUCUGUCAAUUUGUUGGUGAUAUUUAAUGAAAAUCUGAACUUGGCUGACUUCGCUUGAUUUUUAAAUUUGCAGGUAACUGGANCGAAAAUUGGGAACCGUUUGAUGGCAGAGGCAGAAACAANNNNNNNNNNNNNNNNNNNNNNNNNNNNNNNNNNNNNNNNNNNNNNNNNNNNNNNNNNNNNNNNNNNNNNNNNNNNNNNNNNNNNNNNNNNNNNNNNNNNUGAUCUUCUUCAUGAUGUUUUUAUGUAUUGUACUGAUGUGACUUUGAUGUAGCUUGUGGCGAGUGUAAGCCAGUUCAAUAUAUCUUCUCUUUUCAGUACAUGUACUUGUAACGAUAUCCAUUCUUGCGAAACGACGAGAUGCGCUUCUAUCCCUGUCGAGGCCCUCGUGCCUAAAUAAGGAUAGGAUCGCAUCUUGGGCGUUACAAAUUCGCAUGAUUAAAAUCCUUAGGAGUUUUCCUUAAGAAAAUCCUUGGAUUUUUUCAAAAGAAAUCCUUAGAAAGACUUAUUUUUUAUGCUCUAUAUUUUGGAGAUGACUUCCAAACAUUUAAAGAAAUUGCACACAAAUUGUUUUUUGCUGGGAUGAAUAAAAUGGAUGCAAGCAGUGUGUCGUCUGUGUCUGAUGCUGCUGGAAGAAAAUCUACCGUGUGUUUGAAUAUUUUCAAAUAAGAGGUAGAAUGUCAUGACAUUUUCCACAUGGAUCUAACCUUUCCAAAAUUAAUCCAUCGACGCGCAUAAAACUGAAUCUGAAUCAUGCUAAAUCUAGGGUAUCACUUUAAUAAACUUUAACCUAUUCAUCUUCAUCAUGACAAUACAAUGAACAUAAAUAGNNNNNNNNNNNNNNNNNNNNNNNNNNNNNNNNNNNNNNNNNNNNNNNNNNNNNNNNNNNNNNNNNNNNNNNNNNNNNNNNNNNNNNNNNNNNNNNNNNNNCCCGUGUACCGAACCGUUGUGGAGGGCAGCGCACUCUAUAUAAGCCACCCUCCCCCACUGGUAAAGGGGUUAGCAACUUGUUGUAUUCCCUAUUCCACUCGACAAGAAGCUCCCUGAGCACUGAGACGUAAGGCUAUUACCUCCAUCGCAGAGGGGCCUGAACUCAUACAUCCUCGCCGUAGCUAGGACUCUGCCCAUCCUUUUCGUACCCUACACAUCUACUGUCAGGCUUAUACCCACGACAGUUGGCCCCCACCGUGGGGCAGGCGUCUAAGCGACUUCCGGCGAGUUUGCGACUACUUCCUUUCGUCAUGUCGUCCGGUGGAGGUUCGAGCAUGGGUCACCAGAUCUUCUUCGGUGCUCUCUCCUUCAUUGUCGACGAUUCGGCGUGGCUUCGGGAUGCUCCUCUCGACGUCGAGGCGCUUCCCCGUCGUGGGGCUACGCACUUCCGUGUCGGCGCCCGCGGCAUUCUUCUUCUCCAACAGUCGACUCCGAUGUCGACCUGCAGCGCCGUCACGCGCCGCAGCAAGCAGUCCCGCCGUCCGCGGCUCCAGCGUUGGGUGCAACACACCCCAGGCGCGCCAAAACGCGUCUUCACAAGUGGCGGUUCUAGAGUCCGUUGUGGUUGCCCCGCUGUCCCAGCACUCGGACNNNNNNNNNNNNNNNNNNNNNNNNNNNNNNNNNNNNNNNNNNNNNNNNNNNNNNNNNNNNNNNNNNNNNNNNNNNNNNNNNNNNNNNNNNNNNNNNNNNNGGAUCAUCACUUUCUCUAUAUCUAUAACCACACUAGACAUGUUAAAAAUAGAUUCAUAAGAGGCAAGAAAGACAAAUGAAACACAAAAUCCAAUGUAAAGAUGAUUAUCAAUUCCAAUCACAUGAUGGGAAUACCAAUUGUCAAGGACAAGAAGUAUUUUUGAAAUGAUACUCAUUAGUAGAUCACAAAUAUAUCCAAGAUCAUCUUUACCCAUAAAACGCAAGCAAAUGUCACUUGUAGAGCUAACAUGCCACCUAGGAACAAGAUAAUUUACAAUAUCAACACUAAGUGGCAACACCUCAAAUGUACACAUUUUCUAGGUUUGUAAUAUGCACAUAGCAUAUUACUCCCCCACAAUGUGAUAAACCAAUAACAUUGACAAGUGGCAAAUUAGAACCAACAAGAGAUACUUAAUGGACCAUAUAGAAUGUGAAUUUCUCAUGAGUAAGACAUACCACAUAGACACUAGAUAAUCUUGAAGCAUCAAAACUAAGUGGUAUUCCCCAUGUAUANNNNNNNNNNUAAUGUGAUAACCAACAAUAUUAACAAGUGGCAAAUUGAAACCAACAAGAGAUAAUUAAUGGACCAUAUGGAAUUUGAAUUUCUCAUGAGUAAGACAUACCACAUAGAAACUAGAUAAUCUUGAAAUAUCAAAACUAAGUGGUAUUCCCCAUGUAUACACAUUUAUAGGAUUGAGAGGUGUGCAAAGCACAUCACUCCCCCACAAUGGGAUAAUCCAUUAAUCUCUCACAAGAGCCAACAAAAAUACAGACAAGAUGCAAAUAGGCUCAAUACAAGACUCACAUGUACAUGAUGUGCAAAGCAACACAUACUUGAUUACUCAAGAUAAGCAAGUUGAAAGCACAACAUAUACAAACGCAUGCAAGGUACAAAACCACAACAUGCAAAAGGGGGCAAGCACCUAACAAUGUAAACAGUUUAAGUAUAAGUUACCGUANNNNNNNNNNCCAACAUACACAUACUUGAUUACUCAAGAUAAGCAAGUUGGAAGCACAACAUAUACAAACACAUGCAAGGUACAAAACCACAACAUGCAAAAGGGGGGCAAGCACCUAACAAUGUAAACAGUUUAAGUAUAAGUUACCGUAAGGAGGCACAUUAGAUAUAAGAUAGAAACUUGAUAAUCCAAAUGACUUGGCUUGAGAUAAUAUGAAUGAUGAAGACCCAUUAAUUCUUCAUUAUGUAUCCAAGUCUCUAAUGUCCUCCAUAGUCACCUAUUGAUCAAGUUUGAGCUUGUUGGUCCCCAACUACGUUGGGUCCUAAGAAGUUAAUCACAAUAGGCUUGGCAAACCAAAUGGUUCUUUUCUUGACACCAUUUUGAGUACCAACAAACUUGGCAAACACAUUGCCAACCUUAUCCUUCCCAAGGGAAUAGAUAUCAUCAAUAGUGAUUGGGUUGGAUAAGUUACCUCUUGUGCAAGACGAAGCAACGUGACCUUUCUCACGACAUAAGUAGCAACAUCUACCCUUUGCUUUCUUCCCAGUUGAUUUCUCACCUUGGGGAGUGUUGGUUUGGGUCUUAUUGGAAGAGGCCUUCCUUCAACUUGUAGUUGAAUAUGUGAUUGAGUCUGUGGCCGCUUCCCUUGUUGCUUGUGACUUUGAGACUUCGUCUUCAGANNNNNNNNNNGACGUGACCCUUCUCACGACAUAAGUAGCAACAUCUACCCUUUUCUUUCUUCGCAGUUGAUUUCUCACCUCGGGGAGUGUUGGUUUGGGUCUUAUUGGGAAGAGGCCUUGCUUCAACUUGUAGUUGAAUAUGUGAUUGAGUUUGUGGCCGCUUCCCUUGUUGCUUGUGACUUUGAGACUUCGUCUUCAGAGGGCAAGAUCUAACAUGGUGCCCUUUAACUUUGCACUUGAAGCAAAUGAUUUUGGCCGAAUUCUUGACUUGUUCUAGGCCCCUCUUGUUCUUGUUUGAGUUUACUCCAAACUCAUUUUUGUCAUUCGGAGAUGUUUGCUCACACAGGACAUUGUUGAGUGUGGGCAUCUCUUCAUGACACUGUUCCAAGUCUUUCUUCAAAGAAGUGACUUGGGCCUUGAGCUCUUUGAUUUCCUCUGCACGGUUAGUAUCAAUGAAAGUACUAGAGGAAGUGUGGGCUUCAAUGUUAGAGCAACAAGGCAAGGAAAGUAAUUCAUCACAUGAGGUAGCAACAUUAUGAGUAGACGAAUUACGAGGACUAGCACAUGGANNNNNNNNNNNNNNNNNNNNNNNNNNNNNNNNNNNNNNNNNNNNNNNNNNNNNNNNNNNNNNNNNNNNNNNNNNNNNNNNNNNNNNNNNNNNNNNNNNNNAAGAUCACGGGGAAUGCUCAAAACUUGCUCAAAUCACAAAUAGCUUGGGUUGAGAGAAGGAGAGGGAGAAUAUCUAUCUUUUGAUUGGAACAACUCUCAAAGGGGCUCACAAAUGCUCUUGGGAUCUAAGAUUUGGAGUGAGCAAAUGUGUGUGAGGUGGAAAUGUGUUCUUAUGAGGAUAAGGUUGUGUUAGGCAACCCUCUCACGAAGUGGGAGGGGGGUAUUUAUAGUGUGGAGAGAAAAAGAGCCGUUGGGGACACUUUAAGUCACACAGGGUCCGGACGUCCGACAGUUGUCGGAAGUCCGGGCGUCCGUGAGGGGCCGGACGUCCGACCGGGGUCGGACGUCCGAGACUUUUAGGCAUGACUGGAACUCUUCUAAAUUCAUCAGNNNNNNNNNNGGUUGUCGGAAGUUCGGGCGUCCGUGAGGGGCCGGACGUCCGACCGGGGUCAGACGUCCGAGACUUUUAGGCAUGACUGGAACUCUUCUAAAUUCAUCAGCGGCCGGACGUCCGACAGGGGUCGGUCGUCCGAGGCCUGUAGAUGUGCCUGAACAUAUUUGAAUUCAUCAGCAUACGGACGUCCGGAGUGGCCCGAAAGUCCGUGUUAUACAGCUCAACUUCUACUGGUGGUAGGUUCCGGAUUUCCGACGGGUGUUGGACGUCCGGCGCUCGGUCGUCCGGAGGGAGCCGGAUUUCCGAGAUAUAGAACUCAACUUCUACUGGNNNNNNNNNNGAAGUCCGUGUUAUACAGCUCAACUUCUACUGGUGGUAGGUUCUGGAUUUCCGACGGUUGUCGGACGUUCGGCGCUCGGUCGUCUGGAGGGAGCCGGAUUUCCGAGAUAUAGAACUCAACUUCUACUGGUGCANNNNNNNNNNGCCUCGGACGUCCGGAGGUAGCCGGAAGUCCGAGUUAUAUGGCUCUGAUUUCUGUGGUAUAGGAUUCCGGAUUUCCAAACGAGUCAGUUGUCCGGUCCUCGGACGUCCGGAGAAAGCCGGAUGUCUGAGGCACUGGUNNNNNNNNNNNNNNNUCGAACUAGUCAGUCGUCCGGUCCUCGGACGUCCGGAGAAAGCCGGAUGUCUGAGGCACUGGUUCUGUUUUCGGAUAACAACAAAACAGUGGAGAUGUGGUUUGAGCAGAAAGUGAUGAUGUAGUUUGAGCAAGUUCAUCGCAAAACCUGUGAUCCCCUCUUAAUAGUGCGGGAUCCCUAAGGACUCAAGAAUCAUAAAAGAGUACUGAUGAUCCAUGCUUGAGUGUAUACUUUUAUUCGCUGAUCAUCACUCCGCACAACUAACGUCAAAGGAACUGAUACCUUUGAGUUAGCCCUUUCACUUGAGCUUGAUGUUGUUGUUCCUUCUUGGCUCAAGUUGAAAGCAAGACAUGAUGAAGUCUUCAAGUAGCUUUCCCAUACACAAUGCGGAAAGCCUAGCNNNNNNNNNNNNNNNNNNNNNNNNNNNNNNNNNNNNNNNNNNNNNNNNNNNNNNNNNNNNNNNNNNNNNNNNNNNNNNNNNNNNNNNNNNNNNNNNNNNNCAUACAUACAUUGCAUAUUGCUUGUGCUCAUUAUAUUGUGUUGGCUAUUUCUUGUACAAGAUUAAUCAUUCAAGCAUACCCUCUAUAUCCACACGUACAUACUAUCAACCCUUGAUAUAUCGUUUGAUAUAGUGUGAUCUAAUAUCUUGUGUUAUUUACCUACUUGUCGUGUGAUAUAGCUCAAGUAAGUUUGUGUAACUUACUUNNNNNNNNNNUCAUACUUGCAGCCCUUGAUAUAUCGUGUGAUAUAGUGUGAUCUAGUAUCUUGUGUUGUUCACCUACUUGUCGUGUGAUAUAGCUCAAGUAAGUUUGUGUAACUUACUUGUGCUUGUUAGUAACUGCAUUGUGUCCAUCUUGGUAGAUCGUGUUGUUGAUACACGUUGCAGUGCCUAGUGCAUUUAGGAUUUGUGCUUGACAAGUACCCUCUUAGUUUAUUUUCGCAUUAGGUUCAAGCCAAAUCUGAAGAAGUUUUUAAAUAGCCUAUUCACCCCCCCUCUAGGCAUCAUCGAGGUCUUUUCAAUUGGUAUCAGAGCUAGGUCUCUCUUUAAUUAGGUUUCACGACCUUGAGAGUAUCGAUGUCGACUAUUGNNNNNNNNNNCGAAUAAGUUUUUAAAUAGCCUAUUCACCCCCCUCUAGGCGUCAUCGAGGUCUUUUCAAUUGGUAUCAUAGCUAGGUCUCUCUUUAAUUAGGUUUAUCGACCUAGAGAGUAUCGAUGUCGACUAUUGGAUUAGUGCACAAUGGCAUCUUUGACUUUGAUGGCACAAAUUAUACCCUAUGGAGAAUUCGUAUGCUUCAUCACUUUCGGGCCAUGGGCCCAAAUACUUUACGAAUUGUUCUUGUAGGGAUUGCCGACAAAAAGGAUGAUGCAUCUUCAUCUACUAAUGAAAUGUAUCUUGAUUGUGAGGCCUUUCUUGCCAUUCAUCGAACCAUACGUCGUGAAGUGUUCAAGUCUAUCUCGACUUGCAAGUCAGCUCAUGAAGUUUGGACUAAACUUNNNNNNNNNNAUUCUUGAAGGGAUUGCCGACAAAAAGGAUGAUGCAUCUUCAUCUACUAAUGAAAUGUAUCUUGAUUGCGAGGCUUUUCUUGCCAUUCAUCGAACCAUAAGUCCUGAAGUGUUUAAGUCUAUCUCGACUUGCAAGUCAGCUCAUGAAGUUUGGACUAAACUUNNNNNNNNNNNNNNNNNNNNNNNNNNNNNNNNNNNNNNNNNNNNNNNNNNNNNNNNNNNNNNNNNNNNNNNNNNNNNNNNNNNNNNNNNNNNNNNNNNNNGCACCAUCUCAUCUCCAAACCCUAGUUCAUCUCUUGUAACCAAUCUCCAUCUUGCGACUCCGAUUGGUACUUGUAAGGUUGCUAGUAGUGUUGAUUACUCUNNNNNNNNNNNNNNNNNNNNNNNNNNNNNNNNNNCUACUCAUUACACCUCUGAUCAUGAUUAUGAUUAUGCUUUGUGAGUAGUUACUUUUGUUCCUGGGGACAUGGGAUAAGUCAUGCUAAUAAUAGUCAUGUGAAUUUGGUAUUCGUUCGGUAUUUUGAUAUGUUGUAUGUUGUUUUUCCUCUAGUGGUGUUAUGUGAACGUCGACUACAUAACACUUCACCAUUAUUUGGGCCUAGAGGAAGGCAUUGGUAAGUAGUAAAUAGAUGAUGGGUUGCUAGAGUGACAGGAGCUUAAACCCUAGUUUAUGUGUUGCUUCGUAAGGGCCUGAUUUGGAUCCACUAGUUUAAUGCUAUGGUUAGACUUUGUCUUAAUUCUUCUUUCGUUGUUGCGGAUGCUUGCGAGAGGGGUUAAUCAUAAGUGGGAUGCUUGUCCAAGUAAGGGCAGUAUCCAAGCGCCGGUCCACCCACAUAUCAAACUAUCAAAGUAACGAACGUGAAUCAUAUGAACAUGAUGAAACUAGCAUGACAGAAAUCCCUGUGUGUCCUCAGGAGCGUUUUUCCUCCUGUAAGACUUUGUACAGGCUUGUCCCUUGCUACAAAAGGGAUUGGGGCACNNNNNNNNNNNNNNNNNNNNNNNNNNNNNNNNNNNNNNNNNNNNNNNNNNNNNNNNNNNNNNNNNNNNNNNNNNNNNNNNNNNNNNNNNNNNNNNNNNNNUUCACUUUGUGUUCAGACCACAUCUCCACUGCUCUGUUGUUAUCUAAAAACAAAACCAGUGCCUCGGACAUCCGGCCUCCUCCGGACGUCCGAGGACCGGANNNNNNNNNNAGACUUCCGGCUACCUCCGGGCGUCCGAGGCCCGGAUGUCCCGCCAAGUCCCGGAAAUCCGGAAGCCUGCACCAGUAGAAGUUGAGCUCUAUAUCUCGGAAAUCCGUCUCCCUCCGGACGUCCGAGCGCCGGACGUCCGACACCCGUCGGAAAUCCGGAACCUACCACCAGUAGAAAUUGUGUUGUAUAACACGGACUUCCGGGCCACUCCGGACGUCCGUAUGUUGAUGAAUUCAAAUAUGUUCACGCACAUCUACAGGCCUCGGACGACCGACCCCUGUCGGACGUCCGGCCGNNNNNNNNNNAUCCGACACCCGUCGGAAAUCCGGAACCUACCACCAGUAGAAAUUGUGCUGUAUAACACGGACUUCCAGGCCACUCCGGACGUCCGUAUGCUGAUGAAUUCAAAUAUGUUCACGCACAUCUACAUGCCUCGGACGACCGACCCCUGUCGGACGUCCGGCCGCUGAUGAAUUCAGAAGAGUUCCAGUCAUGCCUACAGGUCUCAGACGUCCGACCUCUGUCGGACGUCCGGUCCCUCGCGGACGCCCGGACUUCCGACAACUGUCGGACGUCCGGACCCUNNNNNNNNNNNNNNNNNNNNNNNNNNNNNNNNNNNNNNNNNNNNNNNNNNNNNNNNNNNNNNNNNNNNNNNNNNNNNNNNNNNNNNNNNNNNNNNNNNNNNNNNNNNNNNNNNNNNNNNNNNNNNNNNNNNNNUACCCCCUCCCACUUCGUGAGAGGGUUUCCCAACACAGCCUUAUCCUCAUAAGAACACACUUCCACCUCACACACAUUUGCUCACUCCAAAUCUUAGAUCCCAAGAGCAUUUGUGAGCCCCUUUGAGAGUUGUUCCAAUCGAUAGAUCUUCUCCCUCUCCUUCUCUCAACCCAAACUAUUUGUGAUUUGAUCAAGUUUUGAGCAUUCCCCGUGAUCUUAUUACUCUUGGAGGUUGGAGANNNNNNNNNNNNNNNNNNNNNNNNNNNNNNNNNNNNNNNNNNNNNNNNNNNNNNNNNNNNNNNNNNNNNNNNNNNNNNNNNNNNNNNNNNNNNNNNNNNNAGAUGUACCGAGAGGGAUAAGUGAUCCCAUGGUAUGGUAAGCAUUGUCAAUUACGUGUUUGUGUACUAACCCAUGGUCUUUGUGAGACUCCUAUGUGGGGGUUAGGUGUGUUUCCAUUNNNNNNNNNNGCGUAUAAGAUGUACCGAGAGGGAUAAGUGAUCCCAUGGUAUGGUAAGCAUUGUCCAUUACGUGUUUGUGUACUAAUCCAUGGUCUUUGUGAGACUCCUAUGUGGGGGUUAGGUGUGUUUCCAUUGGGCUUGCGUCAAAAGGAAAAUCUCAUACAACCCAUGAAGGAUGACGUCAAGUGGUGAUCGUCAUCAAGAUUGUGGUGUGCAAGUUCAAGUGGAUCAGCAUGAAUAUAUCAUUGAAACUAUUGUCAAUGAUCAUGUGCUAACAAGGGCAAGAUCAAGAUAAGCAUUCCUGAGCACUACAUGCUUGAUUCUUGUGGNNNNNNNNNNUACGAAUAUAUCACUGAAACUAUUGUCAAUGAUCAUGUGCUAACAAGGACAAGAUCAAGAUAAGCAUUUCUGAGCACUACAUGCUUGAUUCUUGUGGAUGUUCACAUGGUGGAUAGGACAAGAUCAAGAUAAGCAUUCUUGAGCACUACAUGCUUGAUUCUUGUGGAUGUUCACACAUGGUGGACAAAUGAAGAUAAAUACAUAAGCUAGGCUUUCCGCAUUGUGUAUGGGAAAGCUACUUGAANNNNNNNNNNUUUGUGGAUGUUCACACAUGGUGGACAAAUGAAGAUAAAUACAUAGGCUAGGCUUUCCGCAUUGUGUAUGGGAAAGCUACUUGAAGACUUCAUCNNNNNNNNNNNNNNNNNNNNNNNNNNNNNNNNNNNNNNNNNNNNNNNNNNNNNNNNNNNNNNNNNNNNNNNNNNNNNNNNNNNNNNNNNNNNNNNNNNNNCUAAAUAUAAGUCUUUUUAAAAAUUUCACUGAUAAACUACAUACAAAGCAAAAUGAAUGAAUAUAUACUUUAAAAUAUGUCUAUAUACAUCCGCAUGUAGUCUUUUGAUAAAACAUCUAAAAAAGACUGAUAUUUAGGAACCGAGGGAGCACAUAAAUUGCCGAGGCAUGUUGGCACCUACGGCAAAAGGACCGUAUAGAUAGGCGCAUAGGCUCCUGUCCAUCGGAUCUCAAAAUUUUUAAAAUAAAUAAACCGAAGUUUCACAAAAAGGAAAAUCAAAGUGUGAUCCUAUAAUUUGUUAUCAAGAUUUUUUUUGAUGCAACAAAUGGAAGACGUUUUAGGUCAGUUAAGUAGAUCCAUCGUGUAUCUGAACAAUACUCCCAACUUAUACUCCCUUCGUCUUAAAAUUCUUAUUUUAAAUUUGUCUAAAAAUGAAUGUAUCUAAAUACUAAAACAUGAUUAAAUACAUUCAUAUCUAGACAAAUCUAAAACAACUUUUUGAAACGAAUGAAGUAUAAGUUAUUUUUUUAAGUCAUUACUCCUAGAGGUUGUAGUAAGUACAACGCAUAUUAUCGAUGUUCCAAAUUACUUGUCUUGGGUUUGUCUAGAUACAUCUACGGAUGUAUCUAACAUUAACAUAUGUCUAAAUACAUCCAUAUGUGAACAAAUAUAAGACAAGUAAUUUGUGACUAAGGGAGUAUAUUAUAGAUCCACAUGUUUUAAACUGCCAAAACAGUUUAUAUUUUAAAAAGGCUGCGGAAGUGAUCCGAGCACAUUUAGUAAUAUUCGCCCUUAUCAUUCCUAUACAACAGAUCAAACAUUGAGCUGGCCUUGCAUUACCAAUGGCACAUACACCAAGGCAGUUAUAUAGCNNNNNNNNNNNNNNCAUAAGCUUUAGAGAUAUUGUACAGUACAUAAUAUUAAAGCAUCGGCAGACAUAAUGUAUAUAAACACGCUCACUCGAGUACCACACGACAAGAGUUUCACAUGGUUCAUCAAGUAGGAAAGGAGCAAUUAGUAAAUAUAACAACAUAGUAUCGGAAUAGAUCCAUUGUCACCGAACGAAUUUAUUCUUAAGACCGGACCACAAAUCAACAAACUUCUCAGAACAUCACCAUUACACCUGAUCUUCAUUCCUCAUCCGUGCGCACAGCUGCAACAUGAACAACCAAGUCAGUGUUCAAGAGAACAAUACAGCAUGAAGUAAAACCAAAGCAAGAAAGAGCCUCAUCUGAAUGCCCACCAGGAAGAAAGACAUUAAAUAUGCAAGUGCACAAAUCAUCACAGAAGCUGGGUAAGCAAAUUAUUCAGAACAGCGUAGAUGUUGGAUUCAACACUUCAUGCAAAUCACGCAAGAGAACAACCAUCACAGUCACUUAAGCAUUCCAAAACCCAACUACAUGUACUUCUGCAGUUCCUGACAGCGCCCCCGAGUUGCAAUUACAAUAUCGAUACUUAUAUGAAGCACAAAAUCAAUAUCGCUACAGAUCCCUACGAACCUAAUUCCGUUUCAAAGAAAAACUACAAACCUAAUUGCACCUAUCCAGCUGUUUUACUCAGUGUUCACAUGCAAUCAUGCAUGCGGCUGAAUAAACUCCCUCUGCUUUGGUACCAGCUCUGAGCAUACAAAUAGGGUAUGACAAAUCUUAAGAGGCAUUUUCAGAACUAUGUGGCAUGAAUGACGCUAAAAGUGAUAAACUACAUGUGCUAAUUAUU